rnacentral:lncRNA from 1 species
GUCAUUGCCCGUCCGCCGCUCCCGUCGCCCAGCCGCUGCCGCCCAUCCGCCCCGUCCCCAGCCCUCCUCCCCCAUCCCCACCCCCACCCCACCGCCGCCACCCCGCCGCUCCCCCUACACUGCCGCCGCUCCUCCUAGAUCCAGUCGCCCCCGCCUCUUUCUCCUCCCAGACAACAGUGACUAGAUUGACAACAUGAGCUCGAAGGAUGUCUCCUUGAGGUAAAAUCUUUCAUAUUGUUGUACAUUUUAUAUUUACAUCAAGUUAGAUUUCUAACUCGGGUUUUUUCUGUUGUCAACUCAAAUUGUUUAGGUUGGAUUCGGAAUGGUCUAGAGUAGAGAUGCAGUUGGUUGAAUAUGGGACAAGUUCAAUUUCAGCAGUUUCAGUUCUAGCUUCAGAAUGUCUAGAUAGUUGUACAAGUGCGCCUUUAUGUCUUGAGUAUGGGGCGAUUUCAGAACCAGCAGCUCCAACUGUUGGUGGGGUGAUUUCAGAACUAGCAGCUCCAACUGUUGGUGUAGAACAACCACCAAUUCAUUAUGUUGAUUGGGAUAGCUUGGAGAUAGAUGGAACAUUAGAUGAUGAGGGAAGGAUUCACGUCAUGAAUGAUGACCAAUUGUUUGCACUCCUAGGCUUGAGGGAUAAGGGCAAAAAAAUCAGUGCAUGCUGUUGGUUCAAGUAGUAAUGUUCAAACAAGUGGUCCUGGAGUCCUUGAGGGCAUCGAGGGUGCAACAAUUCCUGUCGACAAUAUAGUACCGGGUGAGCUUGUUAUAAUCUACGACAAGAAUAACCCUUGUAUGGAUCGAUACACUAAGUACCCCUCAAUGAAGGAAUUCAGAUUGGCUGUAAGAUAGUUUGCUAUCAAGAAGGAAUUUGAGCUAGGCAAAGUGAAAAGUGACCCAGAGAGGUAUAGGGUAAAAUGCGCGGUGGAGGGAUGUACAUGGAGUCUUGUUGGGCGUAGGCAGAGUGAUAAGAAAACUGUAAUGGUACUAACCUGAAACAUAAUUUUUUUUGACAUUAAUUCUAGUGUGCCUAGUAUUGUUUACCUGGUUUUAAUGGAUUACCUUUCCUUUCAUAACAAAGACCAUACUUGUACAUCUAGCAUGAGGAUAAGAACUACUACACCGUCACAGGAUUGGGUUGCUGAUAGGGCUAUUGAUAUCCUCAAGACUACACCUAAGAUGGCUGCCGUAGACUUGAUGAACCGGUUGUAGGAGGACCAGAAGGUAACUCUCUCUUACCAUACAGUUUGGCAUGGAAUGGAGAAAGCAAAGAAAGAAUUGUAUGGAUGUUGGGAGGAAAGUUUUCAAUUGUUGUAUAGUUGGAAGGAAGAGGUACUUAGGAGAUCACCUGGAAGUGUUAUAGAAAUUGACAUUAGUUGAUGGGAGAGCAUACUUUCAUAGGUUUUUUUAACAACUCAGAGGAAUGUGGACUUGGAACAAUACGUUGAUAUGGUUUACUCAGUGCAGAAAUUCAGGGCUUCAUAUGAGAGAGAGAUACCAGCAAUUCCAGACAAGUCACAUUGGCCAAAGGUGAAAAUGCCUUUCGAUUUGGGCGCACCACUAGAGAAGAGGGGUGUUGGGAGACAGAGGAAAUUGAGGAUUAAAGGAUGCCUUGAGAAUGGUGGCAAAAGUAGUGCGAAGAGUGAUGGCAAGAACAAGAAAAUCAUAAGAGGUCUAGUUACAUGCAAAAGAUGUGGUGAGAAAGGUCAUAGGCAAGCUAGCUAGCUACAAGUGCCCAUUGAAUGGAACAAAAAACGGUAUUAAUAUUUCUGUUUUUUCACUUUAUAUCCUUUCAAAUUUGUGGUGUAUCAUCCUAUAUGUAUAAAUAUAUGCAUGAAAAGGAAGCCUAGGAAAAGCAACCAAAAGAACCUUCCACCUGAACCUUCGACACCAAAAAGAACAACCAAUGAAGCUACAAUAAUGCAAGAAAGCCCGGGAAUGUUUACAAGGAAGCUACAAUAAUGCUCAAAUCUGACAAGUUAGAAUUAUUCUACUUGGUGUGCAUGCUUCAAACCAAUUGUGUGUAACUUGGCUUUUGUGUAUACAUGCAUAGGCGCCUUACAAUGCUAUUGGGAGAAACCGGUACUUCUGGAGUGGAAGGGGCUAAAGAAAUGGCUAGUACUUCUGGAGGAACAUCUAUCCUAAGAAGAAAAAAAUGACUCCCAAGAAAAUGAAGACAACCUAAUGUAUUUUAGUCGUCAAAUGUGAACUUCAAAGAGAUGUGAACUAGUAUUGUAGUUGCAAAUGUGAACUUGUCACACAUGUGAACUCCUCUUUUUGGGUCUCUUUGAUGCUUCAUGUAACCAAGAUAUUUGCUAUGUGAUGUGCUGCAAUGCUCUGUGCAUAUGCUGCUGUGUGCUAUGUGCUGUUGUGCUAUGUGCUGUUGUGUGCUAUGUGCUGCAAUUUAUUUGUAUAUAUGUGCUGCAAUGCUGCAAUUUGAUGAUGGUGUAUUUUUGUUGCUGCGAUGCAAUUUAAUGCUGCAAUUGGAGGGAACAAUCUGACCCGAACAUGUGAGAAAGGAUCCAGGGGUAUGCUGCAAUUAGAGGGAGCAAUCUGACCCUAACAUAUGAGAAAGGACCCAGGGGUAUUUUUGUCAUUUCGCAUGCUAUUUCUGAUUAAAAGGCUCAAAACAGCCCAAAGUGGCAUUUUAUUAAGGUGUAUCACCUACGGAGUGGCAUAUUUAUAAGGUCAUCCUAUAGAGUGGCAUUCUGUUAAAGCCACCUCUAUGGAGUAUGAUAUUGUUAAAUUUCUCGUUGGGGUCAUCCGUUAUGACCGACACUGAUAACCCCGAGCCAAAUUUGAAAAUUUAGCUGCCAUAAAUUCAUGAGUGCUAAUUCUAGCCACAGAUUAGCACUGAUAAAUGCCUCAUCAGUGCCAAUUUUUUUCCACCAAUUGGCACAGUCCACCACAUCAAUGGAGGUUUCUUUCUUAAACCGUACUGAUAUUUGUCACUAGUGCCAGUUGUUGCCCUCCCGGAGCGUAUGCGGGGCUAAGCGGGCAGGAGACUAUCAAUGCUGGUUUUUGUUUGUGUCUAACUGGCACUAAUUGGGCGUCACAUUUAAAGCGUUCUAUGGUUGUGGGACACAUGCUCACCAAUAUUAUCUCUUUACAAAGAGUUACCAGCAGAUCACCGACAGAUGCAAAUAGACCAUCCAACAUUGAAAAGAACCAAGAAUAAACAUGGAACACAAUUCCAAGAACAUAGAGAUCACAUUACCGUGCUAAAGAAUGGACAUAGUUUCCCCACCGCCACAGGCUGCCACUACGGAUUAAGUCGCUACUGCUCCAGAUCAAGUCGUUGUUGCUAUUGAUCAGGCUAUCAUCACUCCAAUUCAAGCCACAGUGAAAGGCACAAGGAGGUGGGAGGAGGGGGGGUUGAAUAUGCGUUCUGAUUUAUGAAAUAUUCUCCAAUUGCCGUAGGUAGAAUCAAUAGGCAGGCACUUCCUACCAACUCUCAGCCAACUCUCGAGUGAUGGCUACUACUUCCGAGCUUGUGGACCAGUAAAGUUUUGGUUGGCUGGGAAUUGUUCUUCCUAGCCCCUCACAGAAAGUAUAAAUGUGAUUAACAGAGAGCCUAACACAGAGCAAAUGCGGAUCACAAAAAUUGCAGCAAUUUGAACACAUACAUGAGGGACCAAAACAAGGGGAGACAAAGAUUUUUUUCCCGAAGUCGGACUGCACGGAUUGUACUCUCCGUUGAGGAGCUCCAUAGAGUCGGGUAUCUAUUAACCCCUUGCCUCACCGAGCUAGCCAAUGGGAAGAAGUCUUUAGCCUCCAAGCAACCACCUAGGUUUCCCUUGAUUCCAAGCGACCACCAAGAUCACACCUUGGGCAGUGAGUUCCAAUCACUAGUGAAGCUUGCUCUACCAAGAUAACCUCCAACUCGGAAUUCACUCAAAAUUUCCUCUUUUCCUUGCGGAGGUGCGGUUCACCCUCACAAAGUUGCUUGGAUCAAUGACAGCUUGAGGAAGCUCAUGGGAGACACCUAGCCAUCUAGGAAGUCACCCUCCAAGAGUAAUAAGCACCAAGCAGUAGCCUGGCGAUGAUCCCCAAAUGCGCAUCUCCUUCUAAGUCACUUACAAGCACUAAUCCUCACCACCUCCAAAGAAUCAUACUCGAAUCACCAUGGUAGCUUAGGAAGUAGUUGGAGGAGGUCAAGAAACCCUAGGAAAAGCUAGGAGAUAGAUAAACGAAAGUGGAAUUGCCAAAGGAGAUGUAGAGGGGAAGGGUGGAUUUUAUACCCACUAUCAUAUGUCAUGUAGCCGUUACUCACAUAGUUGAACUUGAUAGGUGCCAAAGAAGUUCGAGCCAAAACCACUAGGAAUUUUUGGCCAACACUUAAACACCUUGAAAAACAAGGGCCAAGAAGUUUUGGGCCAGAACACCAAGAACUUCCGACCCACACUUUCUGUUUACAUCUGAACCCGUGUAGGUUUUGUACAAAUGUGUCUCUCAUCUACAAGGAGUGGACAGUGAGCACUUGGAUAAACGCAAGCAACCAUUUCAGUAUGCUCCUUAACAGUGCAGCUUUCCUAAAGUCAAGAGCAAAAGAUACAAAGAUUUUUAAAUAAUGCCAUGAGUCCUUGCGCCGCUUUCGAUUCUGUUUGUAGGGGUCUCUAUGCACACCUAGGCACCCCGGGACAAAUUAUCUGCACCACUACAAAAAAAAGCUCAUAGAGAUUUGUUGGAGGGACGGUCUGACCGGUUUAGUAGGGCGGUCAGACCAUCAGACACAUCCUAAAAGGUGUUUUAGCCUCCAACGGCUAGUUUUGGUGGUUGGGGGUAUAUAUACCCACUCCCCAGCAGCAAGGGUAAGGUUUUGGCAUUCCAUUGCAUUAUCUUGAACCCUUGCGAGAGCUCUCACAUACUUGUGCACUUAGUUUAUCUAGUGAGGUGUUGGAGAGUGAGUUUAUCCAAUCCAUGUGCAUUGCUUUAUUGUUAGAGCUAGUGCGGCACUUGAUCAUCCUCGGUAAGCAUCCCAAACUUGUUACUCUUGGAGGUUGCUACCUCCUAGACGGUUUGAAGGAGUUGCUCGGUGACCUCUCCGAGAAGGUUCUGGAGGAGGCCCGGUGUUGAUUGUGAGUGGCUCAGUGUUCACCAUCUCCGGAGUGGAGGAAGAACAACCAUAGUGAUAGAGGCUUGGGAGACCACUUCAUGGGCCAGCACCCACCUUGCUCACCCCUUGACGAAGGGGGCUUGCGGUGGCUUCGUGGUUUGAGCUAUGAAGAAGUUGGACUUGCCACAACGGUGACGUAGGAAGUUGGCAAGCAUCCGAACAUCGGGUGGAAAAAUACUUUGUCACUUGCCUCCUUUAUUUUGUGAAAAUUUACUUUGAGCAAGUUUACAUACUAGAGUUUAUUUGUGCUAUUAUCACCCUAGCAAGCCAUAACAUAGGCUAGCUACUUUGUGCACUUAGUUGAGACUAGUUGAUUUAGGUUUUGAACUGUGCAAAACCGUUUUGAUUUACGUUUCCACGUACAAAACUCGGUUCUAGCCAAAAGUUUUAAAAACCGCCUAUUCACACCCCUCCCUCUUAGUCGACCUCCUUGAUCCUACAUUCUCUCUCUCAAGUCUGUCUUGGUAGCAGCCAAGUGGCGGCCCGGAGGAAGCGGAAGUGACGGCGGCGGCCGCACCCUCCCCUCCUCCAGAUUCUCCUCCUCGUCGUCCUUAGCAGAUGCCGGUGCCACUCCAACCUCCUCGCCGCCUCCGAGUUGCACCACCCCGGAUCCGGUAGCCUAGAGGUCGGGGGCCGCUAGAUCCAGCCUCCUAGAGUUCAGUGCUCUCCGGAUCUAGUGGCCUGUGACCUCACCGUCGUCUCCGAUGCCGGCACCGGCGCUACGGCCACUGCUGGUCGCUGGCACUGAGUGGUGGGUGGUGGGGGCCAGAUCCGGCAGCCCCAAGCUCGGGACUACCACGUUGGCAAGAAGGAUGGCGAGGACCGUGGCGUCGGGGUGGUGGUUUUCUUGAUUUUGUGUUGGGUCUUCUUGGAUUUGGGGGGAAAGGGAAUAUGCAGGAGUUUAUGUUCUAGGCAGAACCAAACAUUGUUUGCAAUGUGAUGAAUAUUCUUGAUUCUUUUUUGAGUGAAAUAUGAUGGAUGUUCUUGAUUUUUUUUCUUCCAUGGCUUUUCCAUGUAUGCAAGCUUGAAGCAUCGGCUCGAUUCAUUACCAAUAGACUAUUCUUUAGUAGUGUUGUAUACAUCUUGAUAAAAUCAUUAGUCCCUUAUAACAGUUUUGUCAUCAUUCCGCCAAAACCCACUUAGGGGGCUAGAUGCAUUUUUACAUAUCUCCUACGGAUUGGGCCACUGCCGGCAUAAUAUGCUUAGUCCACACCACCUCUUGUCUGAGUCCAGCCACCCCCAACUAGCCUCCCUGCACAACCUACCAGAUCUGCUGGUAGAUAGAUAAGGUUUGGACAUAGAGACGACAACAGUAGUAGGAGGACUUAGCUGGCUGAGCAAGUCACCAUGGCAUCUCGUUCAUUGUGCCCGACAUCCGCCGACCAUGAGCUGAUCCUUGUUAUGUUGUAAGCCAAACCACCGGUGAGCUCAAGGAGGCCACCUCACUGGUGCCAAGAAAUAGGAGCAUUCGGAUGGAGGCCCUAUUUAAUUCCCACGAAAAAACUUUUUACCUUGUCUCAUCGAUCGUUUGAACACCUGCAUGAAAUAUUAAAUAUAGGCUAAAAGAAUAACUAAUUACACAGAUUGCGACUAAUUUGCGAGACAAAUCUUUUAAGCCUAAUUGCUCCAUGAUUUGAUAAUAUGGUGCUAUAGUAAACAUUUGCUAAUAACGGAUUAAUUAGGCUUAAUAAAUUCGUCUCACGGUUUACUGACGAAUUCUAUAAUUAGUUUUAUUAUUAGUCUACGUUUAAUACUUCAAAUGUGUGUCCGUAUGUUGGAUGUGAUACGCCAAAACUUUUCACCCCUGGAUCUAAACACAGCCGGGACAGUGAACUACGCUUGCGUCUUGAUAAUGAUAGAUGUACUGUGGGCCAGAGGGCUUCUGGUGCGUCCCGAAUUUGAUUACCAUUUGAAUAGAGAGUGGAUAGAGCAAAAAGGAAGGAGAUCCCACACAUUUGAGUUAUUGUUAGCGACCUAUAAUGGGCUGGUGCUUGCAAGGUUGUGGCGUCCAAAUAUGGCUGGAGAUGGUGAGCAACUAGGGAGGGGACAAGAAUCCACCGUUGGCAGGGGCGGAUCCAGCAAUUAGGAUUCAUUAGGCUGUAGCCUAUCCUCCAAAUUUUGCAAAAAAAAAGAACUAUAUGUGAUAUAUGAGAUGAACAUGCAUUCGAGAAGAGGAACGGACACCGGGAGGUCGAGCAAGAUAGAAAGGAACACUUGGCAUUGUUGUGAUUGGGGCAGAUGCUAAAGUGGUACUUCCUCCGCUUCACAAUGUAAGACUUUCUAGCAUCACCCACAUUCAUAUAGAUAUUAAUGAAUCUAGAUUCAUAUGCGUGUCUAGAUUUAUUAACAUCUAUAUGAAUGUGGACAAUGCUAUAAAGUCUUACAUUGUGAAACGGAGGGAGUACAUCUUAAUGGCCCAUUUGGCCAAUACAACACUUCUUUGGCAUGGUUGGACUGGAGCAAGUGUAUGGGACGGGGAACAGUGGUAGGCUGCUCAUGUAGGGGUGGAUCUCGCAAAGCAAGGUCCAAUAGGUUCAAACCUUAACAUUUUAAAGUACAUAUGAUAUCUGAUAUGAACAAGCAAUGGAGAAGAGGAACAUGCAUCAAGAGGUUGAGGAAGAUGAGCGUGCUUGGGCUGAUUCUACCUUCAUGGCUGUGCGUGAGUGCUCUGCAAACUCCGGUGUCCAAUCCAAUCCUCUCAGGAUUAGUCAUUAGUUUGGUGGCUGGUGGGCCUUUUGGGCUUGGUUUAGUGGUUUAAGUUGGACUGGUUGUGGUUGUUUUUGGGCUUGCUAUCCGGGUAAUAUCCAAAUUAUUUACCGGAUACUCUAUAUCUGUCAGAUAUCAAGCUCCCGAACCUGAUCUUGUAUCCGAGAGAAAAUACACGGAUUGGGAUCCGCUACCCUUGUAAGCAUCCGCGUACCAGGAUUUUUGACCCGAAAUUGUCCCAAACUAAUAUGGUCAGGUGGGUGAGCAGGAAAUACCUGCCCCGUUUUCACCCCUAAACACUCAACACAGCACACCAAAUGUUAGCAUGCACAAAUUAUUUCACAUAGCAACAGGUUAAUUUGGAAAACAACACAUAGGCCUUGUUUGGCUAAUGGGUUUGGGAAAUGAUUUCCCACCCAUCAAAAAGCAUCUUUAAAUCCUAACCAUUCAUUCUCCCUCUUAAUCUUAAUCCUUCAUUCAUUUUUCAAUUCCAAUCCCACCUCUUAUUUCCCAUUAUCCAAACAUAGCCAGAAGACAAGAAACGAACAUGACUAGUAGCUGAUAGAAGGAACUACUGCGAACCACCAGAUGCAGAACCAGGCCCGUUUUCACUAGUUAAAAUAUAUUGCAAGUGCCCAGCUGCGUCUGUGAGGCGCGCGAACAUAAAGCAGUGGCCAUUGCUUGCAUCACGUAGCAAGCGCGCAGCCAUAUACCACACUGGACUACCUGGACGGUGGCCAUCAUUUUCCACCAUCUCCAUGCAAGUCUCAGGGCCGGUAGCCUUCGCUGCAGCUAGUUCCCUUGCGCGGCUCUCCAAGGACGCCAUGCGCAGGGUAGCGAGCCUAUCAAGCGUCUCGCCAGUACCACUGCUGCAGGACCGCUUAUUAGAACUUCCAGAGGCAUCACCCUCUGAUGCCUUCCUUUUUCCCUUACUACCACUGCUCUGAGCAUACUGUCCUUUGAUGGAGACAGCGCCGGUGGUGGAGGAGUGUACGCUGCUGUGAGCUGCUCGACAUCAAUGGGCUGCCACUGAACGGGUUGUUGCGGCGUGCCUUGGGCAGCCCCAGCGACGGCGGAAUGGUUGCGGACAACGGUGCGCAUGCUAAACACCGCAUGAUGAAGAUCAAUGUGCUUCAGGGGAUCGUUUUUGAAGGCUAUCACACCCUUCCUCACCUGUCACACAGUUGUACACAUGGAACUUUAUACAGCAAAUAUAUGAAAAGGCACAGUACACACAAGAGGACAUAAAUACAGUAUAGGCAGCAUGACAAUUAUUACUGAAGUUUGCGACAUGAUUAACAUAUAUCAUAGCCAUAGGACUCGACCACUAUUUAUAAACAUUGAAAGGAAGAAACAAGAUAAGCCUCCACUACAAGAAAUCUUAUGAUAGAUGACGCUUCAUUUACGUCACAAAUACAUAAAAUUUCGUCACGUUUCGUACUGUGAUGCUCGCGUGACGAAAAUUCAUUCGUCACCUAUCAUACGUUUCUAAUGGCGUUUUAUGACGAAACCUUUUUUUUCUGUCAUUAAUCUAGUGACGAUCCUUCUAUCGUCAUAACUUUGUGACGCUCAUAUUCGUCAUUAUCUAGCCUAAAAAAUGUCAUAAAGUAUCUGAUGGCCCAUUAAAAUCCAUGUAUUGAGCACCAUGUUUAUGGGCUUAGCCCAAUGGCAAGCCCAACUAGAUUUUAGCCUAGCCCAUCAUAGAUGUAGCAUAUUUCAGCCCAAUUCUAUUAUAUCCAUUUGCUUUAAUAACAAAUAAUGAAUGAAUAAAUGGGCCAGUCCAUUGCAAAAGCCUAUAUAGGCCCAAAUAUUAUACCACACCAUUUUCAGCCCAUUAUAUUAUCAUUUACAUUAGUAUCAAAUAACAAGUGGGCUAAGCCCAUAUAGACCCAACAAUCAAACACAAUAACAACACAUAUAGCACAAAGGCUACAGCCCAAUAGCAUCUAACACAACCCGACAAACAUCCAAUACAACACAAAAUUUACUACCCAGGUAACAGCCAAAUCCAGCCAAUUGCUCACACCUAGGCAAGCACAAAUCCUUUCAAAUCUCUAAACCGACUGCCAUGAGAGCACCCCCAAAGUCCCUUCCAUAAGCUAAACUGAAAAUCUGCCAAUACCAGAUUAAUGAUGCUCAGUGCAGUUUCUAGCUAGAUUGCAUAAACUCAAGGAUAUCACAUAGGUUCGACAUUAUUUUUGCUACUGUGGCUGUGUGGCAUACCAGCAUUCAUCUCUGUAAGCAUUGUCCAUGACAGAAACAUCUUGUCUGAUAGCGUCACAAGCUUGUUACCCUGACAUUUUGUAGUAAUUGGAGUUUUCAAGAACAAAAGAAAUGCAGCACGAAACUAUGAUAGAUGCAGCUUUGACAUUCUCUAUAAGGAGUACAUACCUCUAGAUUCAAUCUGAAUAACUUGGAACAGCCAGCAAGUUCAUCUGGCAGUACGGAUAUAGUGUUGUUUGAUUCCUACAUGUAGGGCACUACAUUAUGUUUAGGACAGAGGAUGAACAGGGAAGCUAUAGAAAUGACAGCUGUAUAUAUUUUCAUCAAACAAAGAAACCUUAUGGUGAAAAUAAGGAAUACAUCGAUGGUGGCUUACAUUGAGUUCUGACAACUCCAGGCAACUGGCAAGACUAGCUGGGAGAUCUGUAAGGCGAUUAUUUGAGCAGUCAACCCUAACAACAACAAUGCAUCAACUUACAUGAAUAUAAUCAUAUAUAGUCUCAAACAUUGCUUCUGGUAUUUAGACAUCAUACUAAUUGUCAACAUCAUUAUAUCUAAAAUAUGUGACAAAUUUGAAAUUCAAAUUCAAAUUAUUGAAACAAAGUCAUAUAGCAAAACGAACAAAACAAAAGUUGUAGAUCUUGAUAAAUUAUAUAACUUUGUUGUUGAGAAUUUUUUCAUUUAAAAUUAUUUACUACCUGAAAACUUAUUUGAAUUGAGAGAAGGGAGGCAAAAUGGACUUCUCGGCGAGGGAGGAGCAAAAGGGUUGGACCGCGGCCCAAAGAGGGAGGAGGGGAAGGGAAAGCCGGCCCGAGGAGGAAGAGAGAGGCUGUGGGCUGAGGAGGGAGAAAGUAACACUUGGGCCGAAGAAGCCCAAGGGGAGAGAGAGAUUUUAAUUUGUUUUCCAUUUAUUUUAAUAUGUUAAAUGAACUUUGUGGUAUUAAAAUUAGUUAUUGAGCUCCGAAAAUUCACGGAAAAAAUCAGAGAAUAAUUUAGAACAUAUAGAAUAUUAAAAAAAUAUUUCCAGCCAUGAUUUUUAAAGAAAAAUUUUAGUUUCCUCAGUAAUUCACUUGAUUAAAUUGCUUCACCUUUUAAUAUAUUUUUCUAGAAAUGCAUUAUAAAUCUGUGACGUUUGCUUUUACCGCUUAUGACAAAUUAAUAUUCGUCACAAUGUCCCAUUGAAAUACUUUAUGACGAUUUCUAGUUGGUAUUAACGACGAACACCUUUUUUUCGUCACUAAGCCACCCCAUCUCAUACUUAUCGUCAUAAAAUGGAAUGUGCUAAUGACGAAUAGCUCCGAUGUCACGAGAAAUUCGUCACAGAAGGUCAUAUUUCUUGUAGUCACACAUCAAAGUGUUCCCCUUCUCAGUGCACUGAAUUUUAUUCCGACAUAUCUGAAAAGUUUUUUUCAUUUUGGAUGGUAGUUUAUAAAUUUGAGAAUGGGCAAUGAAAACUAGGGGGGCAGUGAAAGCAAAUGCCAUUUCAUCCAAGAAACAAGAAAGUUGUAAUGAAAAUUGCCUUUGUGCAAACAGGGCCCAUCCAUGGUUGAAUCUAAAGAGGCUCUGUUUGCAUUCUCUUUUUUUUUGUCCCACUGGAUUGUCUAUACUGUGAUGGCAGUAAAUGAGUAACUCCAAAAACUUGAUAGCAGCAUGAUCCUUCAGCAGCUGGAUCAUUUACAAAUGUACUUGGCACCUACAGUUAUGAAGCUAAGAAAUUAUGAACUAUUAAAAACCAAGAAAGACCAAGUUGACAGCAUCAUUCUGUUCUAGCAAACAAAAUUAUGUACCAGGAGCUUCUAAAUUACAGGAGAACACUAUUUGUUAUUACAAGGAGCUAGUCAGUGAUACUCAACAGUCAAUUCAAGCCUUCAAAAUUGAGCCUAACUGCCUAUGUUCAUAUUACACAUGAAGGUAACACCAUGGUAGCAAGAUAUUUGGUUUGCAAAAUGAAUUUGCGGAUGAGUUACAUACCCCAUUUUGGCUUUCCCACCAGCUUUCGUCAGUGACAAUGGCUGAAGUAAGGGGGUCCCGGCCUUGUCCGGUUGCCUGCGAUUCAAGCCACACCCACAGCUGGAACCGCUUCUUUGCACUGCCCCAGAUGUACUCCAAUUGCCCUUUUGUCACCUUCUUCCUGCACUUGGUGAACAUUUUCUUCGCCAAGUUCUCCCAUGCCUUGGGUUUGGGGGAGUUCGAGGUGUUGUUGUAUGCCGCCAUCUCCUCCAAGCAACACUCAAGAAACACACGCAGCUCGAAAUCGGUCCAGCGACCACGCGGUUCGGACAUCUACUGAAAUGCUAGUCAACAAAAAAUGAAAGAGAGAAAAGAACUACACAAGUCAAUUGAACGGCUGACGGUGGCAAGGCUCAUUCGACGCACGAACUCGAUAACGGCUUUGGGGGACUUGGCACACACCGUACAGAGGGCAUUGGCGAUGUGCACGACGUCGUCGGCUAGAGCCUUGGCGGUGCCCGUGUCCGAGGCGACCGACUCGGAGGAGCCCUCGCCGGACUCCAGAGUGGAUCGGCGGAUAGCGAUUGGUAGAGGUGACGUGGUUGGAACAAUCUCCCUUUCCAAGGCAGGGUGUGACAGCUCAACCUCUCCUUUCCGCUUCUUCCCCCUCGCCUCCAUUCCCCUACUUCAAUUUAUUACACUCCGAGUUUAUGUUGAGCCUAACAGCUCUCCACACCACCUCGUUACUAUAUGCACCUGGAAUGCACUUCAUCGGCCGGAAACGAUCAAAAGAGCGACGUGACUGAGUGUGCAAAACUAAGAUCAGCUCCAUUCAUCUGUGUAGUGCAUUCCUCACCAUAUAUGUAGUCUGCAAUUUCAACAUUUACAUUUAUUUUUAGUCGGACUGAAAUUCUGCUCUAAGGAAUGUUUUAUAUUACCAACCAUUUGUUAUUUGGUAAAGUGCAGGUGUUGUUAGAAAUUCUAAUUAAUCUGUGAACCAUGUACUACUAGAAUUUAUUUAAGAGCUAGUAUAUCUAAGCAAGUAAGAGUUUAUUUAGCUGUGGAUUGUGGUUCCAUAUUAACCACUGUGCAGACCACUAAUGUGAGCCCUAAAACUCCCAACUCCUCUUCUCUCUCCUUAUGUCUUUCUCACGCACAUGCAAGCUGCUGCAGCUAGCUUAGCUCCUCUUUCUUCCUGCUGCCUGCUGCUGCUAAGGCUCUUCCUCCUUCCCAAAUCACGGUCCAAACCAUGGCUACCGAUUUGCCGCUGCUAGGUGUGGAUCAGCUCUGCUUUGACUGCGGCUGUGGCGGUGGCUGCUGCAGCUACGACUGCGGCUGUGGCUAUGGUGACGGAGGCUGCUGCAGCUGCGGCUGUGCUGUGGGUGCUCUUUCUCUCCCUCUUUCCUUCCCUCUCUGGCUCUAGCAUUUGUGCGCUGUGGAUACAAGUGCAGAGAAAAUCGAUGCUCAUGCCAUGACUGCUCUAUGUGCUAAAUGAAUGAUGGUAAGAAAUGAGGGGUUCACCUUUGUGUAGGUGACGAAUUCGUUCACAGUCAUGCACCCUUGUGCGUCCUCGCCGAUCUGUUCACCUCCCCUCCUCCUCGGUAAAUCACCUCCCUGCCUACCCGUUUUUUUUUUUUUUGAAAAUGUCAACGGGGGCGAAGUGCCCACCUGAAUAUAUUACGCCAAACAGACUUACACAUGGCAAAGCAAUGACGGGCAAAGCAAUGACCGCGCAAGUGCAGGCGCCCUGGAGGAUAACAGAGUGAAUACAUGGGGAAAUACAAGGGAAGAGAAACACACAGGGGCAACAUAACCACCCAAAACACAUAUUGAUGUUUUCCAUCAACAAGAUCACACCGCCAAACACCCAAACCGGCUGUAUGAGUAUUUGGCCUGAUUGGUAAUGAAGGUUGGUUCUUGCAGUGGAUGGGGCAGAUUCUUGCAUUUCACUGAUUCGUGGAUUUUGGGGCUUUGGCUAUUUCUUCUCCACUCCCUGCUACUCCCUUUCUUCUCCCCAACUCUGCUCAUUGCUCAAUCCUGCCAUGUACUACUUGGGUUUCCUAUGCAUAUGCACCGGCUUGCAUUAAUUGCUAUAGACAUGGCCAUACUUUGACCGCUUGACUGCGGUGCGCUAAGAGCGAGAACAAUAGCAGGCUAUAAGUCAGCUGUAAAUAUAUAUAGAGAAGAGAGAAGAGAGAGAAGGAAAAGCGGACUACAGAUCCCCAAGUCCGCUAUAUUUGUGUAACGGAUUUGCUCAAAUUUCUUUUCCGAGCCGAUCUAGGGUUUCCAAAACCGAUUCCGUUUUGGCCGUUACCGCGCUCUCUUUUAAAUAGUAACCACCGCUCUUCUCGUUUCACGGCGUCACUUCCGUUUUCACCGCUCUAACCAAAAACUUUCCCCAAUCUUCCACCUCGAGUUCUCCGGCAACACCCUUCAAGCUUUCCGGCGAUCCGCAGACGCUUCCGGCGACUCCAAUCUCCGCCAAUGACAAUGUCAACCUCCGCCAGUCCACCGAGCUCGUUGGCCACCGAAUACAUCGAGGUAAGUAUCCAUCGGCUAAAUCCCUUCUUUUCCUCGUAGAUUUGGUUCUUCUUCCGCUCAAUCCUCGAUUUUCUUCCUCUGUAGCACCUCACCCACCAGGUUGCAAUUCCUAGUGUAGCCGAUGAAUUCCAGUUUUUCCUUGGCCCAAUCGGAAACUUAGACCCCACAGAGUUCAUCAAUGGAGAAACCAACCGAAUCCCCUUCAGAUUUUGCCAAUCCUGACCUUAGCCCUUGGAAAGGCACCUUCAAAUCCUGGCCAUCAGCCGAAGUCAGCUAGCCUGCGUGGUACAAGAGGAUGUUGACUAGCAAAUCAGGUCACUGGAAAGAAAUUGGCAUAGCCCAAGCCUUAGCCCUUACUGCAGCAAAUAUGGCAAGGAAUGAACCCAUGAUGGCAGCAUCCACCUAUUUUUGGUCCAUAGCCAUGAACACGUUCCUUUUCUCUCAAGGACCGAUGACCCCAACACUAUUAGAUAUCAUCAUGAUCACUGGUCUAGAUAUCACUUCAUCGGCUAACUUGUCCAGCCUAAACACUCAACUCACCCAUGAGUUCAAAACCAGAAGCAUAGGUGGUUGGUCAGGUUAUGUUGCCAAGAACAUGGGAACUGGGCCGGUUACCCCAAGAGAACACACAGCUUUUCUUAUGAUGUGGCUGGAAAAGUUCUUAUUCUGUGGUCCAAGCUGUGGUCCGACCGCAAACUGGCAAUGGGUUGCUGAAAAUCUAGUAGAAAAGAAGCAUUUUCCCCUUGGCAAGUAUCUGCUAGGCUAUUUGUAUCAGACCCUCAAUACUGCAAUUGACAAAAUAGCCUCUGGAAAAACAAUCGGCACAGGGGGUCCAUGGUGGCUACUCCAAAUUUGGCUGAAUCUGCAUACCAGAAAAGUGGCCAAUCGGCCAGCACUAGCCGAUGUAGAAUUCCCAAGAUUCGAGCCGAUCAUCAGGGACGAUGGAGAAACAAGCACCACAUGCCGAUGUAUGUCCUUCGAAGAAGCAGCAUCGGUUAGCGCAAUGUCCAAGCUAUCGGCUGAACCUUUCAGGGAAUGGUUCAAUAAUUUCUAUGAUGGGUUCCCCAAGAAUGAUAGGAUCUGGUUUGCAUAUGAAGGAUCUGCUAGCUUUGAACUACCAGGUGACUUUUGAUUUGAUGAAAUCAACUCUGACAAAUAUGAUAAAUCUAGAGAAGUAUUCUCAACAGCUAUCAGCCCCUUCAUCAUCCAUGUCGGCAUCCAUCAAGGCAAGAAUAUCCAGAUGACUUACGAAUUCUAUCAUCCAACAAGCGCUGUAAGGCAAUUCGGCAUGGGACAGCUGCCAAUUAGCCUAUUCUUUGCUGACAAGAUCCAAAGUAGAGGAGAGAUUUCAUCAUUCCUUAUGAUGGAUCGGCUGCUGAAUCUACCAGGACCACCUCUUGGCAGUAUUGACAACAUCAGACUAAGGACUUUCAGGAGUGUGGCCUUUGACUGAUGGUGGAUAUAAUGGAAAAGACAUUUGUUCCAUCAAUUGCCGUCCAUAUAUUUGACGAACCUGUUUCCUGACGAUGUCCCACAGGUAAAAUUCUCACAUUUUGUUAAUUUUAUUAACCACAAGCCGAUGCGUCUUUAACUUAUGCGAUCCUGUUCUUUAUAGACAACAGAAUCUUCUCCUCCUCACCAGAGCAAAAGUGGUGUGGAAAUUGAAUAUGCACUAGGGCUCCUACCUAAUGGUGGUGGACUAACACCUCCAGUCAUCGGCUAUAAUGCCCCCAAGACCUCCACAUUGCUGCACGGCCUGUCUCGUAUGCCGAUUGCUCGUGCUGCUGGAAGGAAAAGAGCAAAAUCAGCUGCGGCACCAUCGGCUGCAAAGAAAAAGUCUAAGAAGCAAAAGACUGCUGCCGAUGAUCUGCCAGCCAUUGAUCCAGAUGUAGCAGAUUUCCUGGAGGAUGAAGCAAUGUCCGAAGAGGUGAAUGAAGCGACUGAACACAUCAGUGAAACACGGGAACAGACCCCCCUGCCGAUCCACCUGGCCCUCAGAUAACACCAUCACCUCCAGUACGUCCCACUUAUCAGCCCAGGGUAUGCAUCUCUUUCUCAUUCAUUGUCCUUAUACUUUAGAACCGAUUUCUGACUUUGUGCUUUGCAGAAAAAGAAGAUAGCUUCCAAGAAACCACAAGGAGCAGCUGCACCGGUUAAUUUCCCUGAUCCUAUCAAUUCUCUUUUUCAGUUUUCAACCGAUGCUAACUUGUACUCACGUUUUCAGCCCCCUCGACAUUCAACUCCUGUCUUUGAAUCAAGUGAAAGUACUCCAUCGGUUAUAGGAAGUCAUCAUGUAGAAGAAGAAGAAGAAGAAGUAGCACCAACUCCUGCUGUCCCUGUAAGUAUAAACCUUAAUUUUGAAAAUCAUAUCGCUACCAAUCUUUCUAAUAAUCCACAAUAUCAAUGUUUCUCUCUUUCAGGUUCUAGCCGAUAUGUUCUCUUUUGACAUCAGGCUAUUCUUGGAUGAUGAAGAAGAAACAAGAAGCUAAGCUCUAGUGCCCCUAGCCGAUGAUAUCAAGGCAACCUUAUUGGAUAUCUCGAAACAACUUGAAGGCUCCCUGGAGACUUUGGUUACAAGCUGCGGAUCCAUCACGGACAGACUCAAUGAAAUCCAUGACAAGAUCCUAGAUGAGCACCAGCGGCAUAUCUUAAGCAACAUUGGCUUAAAUUUGAAAAAGCCCAAAAGAGAAUUGCCGAUCAGCGUGAAAGGAGAGAUCUUGAAGCAACCAUCCAAGCCAACAGAACGUCCAUCAAUGAAGAAAAAGCUAAGCUGGAUGAGUUGGAGGCUGGUCCAAGUGCAACUCAAACCAACAUUGAUCAGCUAAAUAAAUGGAAGAUAGAACUCAUAGCUGGACUAGAGCAAUGCAAUGCACAACUUGCUCUUGAACAGGAAAAGCUUGCCGAUCUGCCAAAAGCCAUCGAAGACCAAAAAAUCCAAGUUGAAAGCAUCUGUGAAGCAUCUAACUGAGCUGACCAAGUCAUUGAAGCCGAUUUCCAGUACUAAUGCAGCCGAUGCCAAGAUAAUCAAUGAAGUAGAUCAAGUUAGGCAAAAGGCAAUAUCGGCUAUUCAAAAAUAUGUAUCCGGAUGAGCCGAACCUUGUAAUUUUCAACUUUAAACUUACAAACUUUUGGGCUGUAAUGAAUUCCAUGUUAAACCUCUGCCUUCAAAUUUUUGCUUUUGAAAUCCAUAUUUUCUAUAUCUCUGCAAUGUUGAAGACAUUGAUAAAAUUAUAAUUUGGACUAAGGGCGACAUAAUAAAUAUCAGCCAUCAUAUAUCGGAGGAAUACAAGCGAUUAUGAUAAUAAAAACAAGUAAGGGCGAUACAAUCCAUAUCAGCCAUCAUAUAUCAACAAAACAUAGCUGAUUAUGCUAAUAAAAACUGCUAAGGGCAAUAUAACUUAUAUCAGCCAUCUCAAGGCGAUGUCAACACAUCGGCUAGCAUGCAUCGGCAAUACUCAACUGAUCAUGAAUUGACCCGAACACUUGGGUAAUAUUUCUUCAGAUAUUUUCCAUUAAGUGCUCAUCCAUAAACUUCACCAUCAAGUCCUUGCAACAUAUAAGCUCCUUUGGACACAACCUUAUGUAUUUGAAAUGGCCCCUCCCAAUUUGGAGACCACUUGCCGAAUUUAUUAUCCCGAGUUCCUAUCGGCAAGAUUAACUUCCAAAUUCCUGGUAAAAAAAAAAGAUUAACUUCCAAACAAGCUCUCCCUCAGAAAAAGACUUAGGCACCACUUUUUUGUUAUAAUGCCGAGCAGCCCAUUCUUUAUCCUUGGUAACUUUUGCAAGAGCUCUCAGUCUGGAUUGAACCAAGUCUUCUUUUUUCAUCGGCAAUGAUAUUAUAAUAUUCAUUGGCUGUCAACUCAUUCUGCAAAUCCAUCCUUCUCGAGCCGAUUCUAAUCUCCCAUGGUAAAACUGCCUCGUGUCCAUAUACAAGUUUAUAAGGAGGAACUUGAAUCAAUCCAUGGCAAGCCAUCCGAUAAGACCAUAAUGCUUCAGCCAACCUUGUGUUCCAUUGCCGAGGUAAAUCAAAAAUCUUCCUCUUGAUCAAUUUAAGCAAACUCUUGUUAGAUGCCUCGGCUUGCCCAUUGGCUUCCGCAUAAUACCCAUACUAUCAGCAAACUGAACAAAUUCAUCAGAUACGAAAAUAGAGCCCUGAUCGGUUGUGAUAGUCUGAGGAAUUCCAAAUCAAUAAAUAAUAUGUUCCUUGACAAACUGUAUUGCAUCCCCAGAAUCAACAUUUUUCAAAGGAAUUGCCUCCACCCACUUGGUAAAGUAAUCGGUUGCCACCAAUAUAAACUUGUGUCCCUUGCUUGAAGGUGGAUUAAUCAUACCGAUCAUAUCAAUUCCCCAACCUCUAAAUGGCCAUGGCUUGAUGAUAGGGUUCAUAGCCAAUGCUAAUGCUCUCUGAAUUGCUCCAAACUUCUGGCAAUCUUGACAUCCCUUGUAAUAUCUGAAGCAAUCUUUUAACAUCGUCGGCCAAAAAUACCCUGCGCGCCGAAGUAACCACUUCAUCUUGUGAGCGAUUGGUGAGUACCACAAAUACCUUCAAGUACCUCCUCCAUCACAACCUUAGCUUGAUCAGUACUCAAACACUUAAGCAAUACCCCAUCAAUCGUCUGAUAAUAGAGCUCAUCGUCUAAUAAUGUAUACUUCAAAGCUUUGUAGCACAAUUUUCGUGAAGCCGAUUGAGAUGGGGUCUACAAAUAUUGAAAAAGAUCGUAUCUCCAAUCAUCGGCUGCAAUUGUGGCAACUUCUAUUUCAAUAUCUUUCACCAUCGGCUUAUAUCCUGAUGCCCCCUGAGCCAAAUCAUUAGCUUCAACAUUUUGCUCCCUAGAGACAUGCUUCAAAGUUACCAGCCGAAAACUAUUCAUCAAUUCCCGGCACUUUUCAUUGUAGAUCAUCAACGUAUCAUUUUUGCAUUCAUAUUCUCCUGCCAACUGACUGAUUACCAACAAUGAGUCCCUCAUGAUCUCCACAUCAUCGGCUUCCACUUCCUUGAGCAACUGCAACCCCUUGAGAACUGCUUCGUAUUCGGCCUGAUUAUUAGUUGCAUAAGGUUUAAUAGUAUAAGCAAACUCAAAACUUGCCCCCCGAGGGGAAAUUAUUACCAAGCCGAUACCACAACCAUGAGUAUACACCGAUCCAUUGAAGAAUAAUGUCCAAGGUGCAAUAUCAACCGAGCCAAUCGAAUUAUCUCGAUGUUCCACAAUGAAAUCGGCUAUAGCCUGCCCCUUGAUGGCCUUGGGCGAUUCAUACCUGAGGUCAAAUUCUAUCAAGGCAUAUAUCCACUUUCCAACUCUUCCUUUAAGAACCGGAGCCGAUAACAUAUAUUUGAUCACAUCGGCUUUGCAUACUAUAGUGCAUUCAUUGGAUAACAAAUAAUGCCUCAACUUGGUGUAAGAGAAAUAUAAACACAAACAUAACUUCUCCACCGGAAAAUACAUUGUUCCUGCGUCCAAAAGCCUGCGUCUUAAGUAGAAAAUAAGUCUUUCCUUGCCUUCGAGCUCUUGGAUUAAAACUGAGCCGAUUGACUUCUCGCCAGCCGACAAGUAUAAUCUGAAUGGUAUUCCCUUCUGUGGAGCAAUCAAUACUGGAGGAGAGCUAAGAUAUUCCUUAAUAUUAUUCAAAGCCUUCUGUUGAAACAAGAUUUCGGCAAUACGAAAAGGGGGUGGCUAUCAAGCAGGAAAAGUGGAUGGGUUUAGAGACAAGGAAUUUUAUAUAGGUUCAGGCCUUCUCAAUGAGAAGUAAUACCCUACUCUUAUCCGGGGAUUGAUUCACCGAGUGUAUUAUUGAUCGUAUGAUCUGGGAGAAAAGUUAUGCCCAAGAGGCGCCCGGACCCCUCCUUAUAUAGUGAGAGGAGUCCGUAUUACAAGAUACAGCGCAUAUUCCUGACGAAAUAGGCAAGUAAAAAUAAAUACAAUCGUAACCGACUAGGAUCUCGGGUAUUUCCUUGAUACACAAGUUAAGAUAUAACUCGAGCCCUUUAACGAUAUCUUAUCUAUAUAUGGUACCCCUAUACCCAGUCGGAUAUACAUGCCGUGUGGGUAUGGGGUAUCCAUAAUCUCCACACAUUCUGCUGCUCUGCCCCCCAAGUGAAUUCUUGAUCGGCUUUCAACCUUAGCAAGGGUGUAAAAGGUUCCAAUCUCCCAGAUAAGUUAGAAAUAAACCUUCUAUAAAAUUUACCUUGCCGAUCAACUUCUGCAAUUACUUCUUGUCUUCUGGAGGUAGAAUCUUCUUGAUCGCAUUGACACUCCUCUGAAUUACUUUGAUCCCCCUCUCAUGAACAAGAAAACCCAUAAACUGCCCAGCCGAUACAUUGAAAGCACACUUCGUGGGAUUCAUUUUCAAGCCAUAUUUCCUUGUUCUUUCAAAAACCUUUUUCAAAUCGGCUCUGUGGUCUUCCACCUCUUUUGAUUGAACAACCACAUCAUCGAUGUAGACUUCAACCAACAAGCCGAUCAGAUCAUGGAAUAUAUAAUUCAGUGCCCUCUGAUAUGUAGCCCCAGCGCUCUUCAAGCCAAAAGUCAUCACAACCCACUCAAAUAAGCUGAUUGCACCAGGACACCUGAAAGCAAUCUUGUGAAUGUCUUCUUCUGCCAUAAAAAUUUGAUUGUAACCUGCAUUGCCAUCCAUAAAACUGAUAAUCUUGUGCCUUGAAGUAGCAUCAACCAAUUGAUUAGCAAUCGGCAUUGGGUAUUCGUCCUUAGGGGUAACCUUGUUUAAAUUCCAAAAAUCUAUGCACACCCUAAGCUUGCCAUUCUUCUUGAUGACCGAGACAAUAUUUGAAACUCAUUCAGCGUAUCGGCAUGGCCUGAUAAAACCAACAUCAUAUAAGCGAGUUACUUCAGCCUUGAUAGCAUCAUACAUAUCGGCUUUGCAUCUCCUUGGAGGUUGCUGGUAAGGUUUGUACCCAGGUUUGAUAGGAAGUCGAUGUUCAAUAAUCGAUUGGCUGAGUCCUGGCAUCUCGUAAUAUUCCCAAGCAAAGCAAUCUCUAUACUCUUUGAAAAGCUCUAUCAACGUGGUUCUAAACUCUGUCAAUAAAUUUUUACUAAUAAAUGUCGGCCUUGGCCUAUCUCCUGGGCCUAUGUCAAUCUCUUCCAAAUCAUCAGCCGACAUGAAACCCUGUCCUAAUUUGCCAUCGAGAUCAUCCACCGUGUCCUUGGUGUAGAAAUUUGAACCCUCCACGAUGCCCUCAAAAUAAUAAUUUGGGGUCUCCAUCUUCAAUUGGUUGUAUAUCACAAUCGGACACUUUUAGAAAAUUGUUGGUAUUUCUUAAUGACAUUACUAGAAAUAUAAUUUCCAGCAAUGGCGCAGAAAUACUUCUGGUAUAUUAUGGUUGUAGAGUUCAUCCACAAGCGCAUGGAUAUACCAUUGUAGCAUUUCACCCGAGAUUAUUCCAAGGGUAUUGUAUUUAUUUUAUCCCGUGGGAAGAUUAUGUAGAGAGAACUCAACUAAUAAUUUAUAUAUUACUUGUGAUAAUCAUAUUCUAAGCGGGGGUUACGAAAAUCCAAGGGUAGAGUGACACACAAGCAUUUCUACUCAUUCUCAUAAUAAAUAAUCUAAUGUCAUGCCCGGAAUUUCUAUCCAAAACUCCAAACGCUUACAUGUGUGUAAACCCUCGUCCAGGAAUCAGUCGAGGCACACAAUAACAAAUUGAUAAUAGAGUGCAAUUAUUGCUCUAUUUAAUAGGCGAAUAUAAAGUCAUUACAGAGGUAGAUAGUUCCUAUCAAACAAUAGAGAUCUAAGCAACAGAAAAUAAAAUAAAGAGCAUAGGCGACUCCAUCCCACCAGCAGCUUGACCAGGGCUACGCCUAAUCCUCCACACCUUCAGCCUCACUGUAGAACUCCUCCAAUGAUGAAUGGUUGCAAGGUGAGUAUAUGACAUACUCAACAAGCCAUGCAGCAAAUAUGCAAGUGUAGGGGAUAACAAAGGAUGGCAUAAUAUAGUCUCAUUUGCAUAAAUGGCAAUCAAUAAAUACUUCAGAAUUCAGAAAAACAGUAAAGCAUUUAAUUAAACAAUAUUAAUCCAACGCUAUACAACAUACCCGUUGCAUAGGCCCAACCAUUCUGAACAACCAUUCCCGGCUGCACAGUUCUAUCUCCAAACCAGGAAUAUACCAUUCCAAACCAGGAGCUAAACAAGUUAUUACCAAUUACAACAUCAUUUAUUAUGGUGAGAGGUGUGAGACUAAUCACGAAAGACAUUGUUAGACUCGCCCAUAACCGCGGGCACGGCUAUUCAAAUAGUUUUACUCUGGCCAGAGGUGUACCACUGUACCCACAAGACACAACCUCAACAUCAUGUCAACCAUGCGUCGCGAUACUUAACAAGAACCUGAAUAGAGAUUGUGAAUAGAGAUUGUGACAAUACCCUCCGCAUAACACAAUUCAAAGCAGUGCACCAUUCCUAGAUCAUAAUCACUACCUUAUAAAACAAGGCAUGGACUCCCCAGCGACCCCCCUGGGCUUAUCUCCGCCACUUCUCAGUCUGGUGCCCCAUAAUGAACCACACUAUAUAAAAGGUAAAGCCGUUGCCCACGCUGGCUUGUGGUUGGCACGGUUAAUGUUUCACAACCAAAAAUCGUGAACCGGUUCUUAAUUGUCAUGAGCACGACCAUCAAAACUGUUUACACCCAAAUUUGGCACCUAGGAUUAAAAUAGGAAAGAUUGCCAAAAUUUGGAAGUCUACCGGUUUCCUCCGAGUAGGCCGGUCUGACCGCCGUGUGUUCGCCGGUCAGACCGCCAGUUGAGGGCCGGUCAGACCGGCGGUGUGUGGCCGGUCUGACCGGCAGGUCUGAGUCCGACUGUGUUUUGUCGGGUCUCGAGGUUUCCUUGCUCGGGAAGGCAUGUUUCGGGUUUCCUUUGGUUUCUGCCCCGAGUUGGACGUGGAGGAGGGCCUGUAGAGGGCAAGACCAACCCCUAUAUAAGGGACAUGGCCGGUUCAUUGUAAAAAACCAAUCUACAAUCAAUUAACCGAAUCGUUUUUUCAUAUUGCUUUUAGUUUUCUCUUAGUUUGUCCAUCUUUAUCGGUUUGCGCCGUAAACCGUCCGCCACCGCUGCGAGAGUGCGACAUCUCUUUGUAGGUUUGUCCUGAAAACCUUCCGUUUUGCCCACGAGAUGGGUAGUUAUCUAGAAAUCGGCUCCGCUAGCCGGUUUAGUUAUCAAAACCCAUUUAGGUUUAGCUCUUUGCUAGAUCGAGGUGGUUGGCGACUCUAGGAUCACCGCAGGCUUAAGGUGCUGCGAUCGUGCUUGUCAACUUGUCAAAAAAGUUGCCAACACGAUUUUUGACGACUCUGCUGGGGACGAGAUCUGUUCAUCGUCAACUCAACUUCGACUUCGUCAUGACGUAGCCGCCAUCCAAGACGGAGGUGGAGCCAUCCAAUAUGAUGCCAGUCACCUUGGAUAAAUUCGAAGGAGAAGACCGUAAAGCUAUGGAGGAGUACAUCAACGAACUCACACGGGAGGCAUUGAUGAGGGCAAGCACUAGGACUCGUCAAGGUGUGACCAUCAAGCCCGGGCCACGUCCUAAGCUCGCUCCUGACUUGGUAAGUAAUGAUGAGGUAACACAAUCUAUCCAACAACAAGUAGCAUCUACAAUAGAUUCAUCUAUGAUUGCUUUUAAAGAUAAGUUAGAUGCAACUUUUGAGGAUAAAUUUGAUGAGUUUUUAAGGGUUAAAUUCGGCCCUCUUAUGGCCAAUUACAUGUCAAAAAAUAAAGCCUCUACCACUGCUAACCAACCUCCUAUAGAUCAAACGGGUAGUAAAACCGAUGAAGCGGCGCAUGCGGCCGGUCUGACCGGGCCUGACGGCCGGUCAGACCAGGACUUAGCCGUCGGUCCAACCGGCCAAACGGUCGGUCAGACCGGCACUCAAGCCAGUGCCGGUCCGACCGCGCCUCUGGAUGCCGGUCAGACCGGGCCUUGGGCCGGUCACACCGGUGCAAUUGUUCCGAUACAAGGAAUACAUCCAAUGACUAAUGCUGGUUAUUUGUAUCAUCUUAGAACAUUUGAUCCUCCUGUAUCUACUGCUGCAAGUAGUCCCCAGGUUCCCCCACAUGUUCCUAAUGCUUAUAAUGAUGUUGCUAGGGGGUAUCCCCCCGAUACUAGACAAGGCCAAUAUAAUCAUAUUGCGCCACAAACACAAUCUAUUAGGCCACUGAAUCCACCGCCAAGUCAACAUGGGCCUAAUAAUAUAGAGGAUAUAAUUAGUGAGAUUAUUAGGAAUAGAUUCGGGAUUGAAACUAGGAAUCGUGCUAGGGUUUACAAAAAGCCGUAUCCUGAUUAUUAUGAUGAUGUGCCGUUUCCCCGUAAUUUUAGAGUUCCCGAAUUUACCAAGUUUAGUGGUGAGGAUAGUAAGACCACAUGGGAGCAUGUAGAUCAAUUUUUGGCACAAUGUGGUGAGGUUAAUAGUGAUACUUUUAAAUUGCGCUUGUUUUCUUUAUCUUUGUCCGGUAAUGCUUUUACAUGGUUUACUUCUUUACCGGCAAAUUCUAUUCAUACUUGGGCUCAACUAGAAGAAAAAUUUCAUGAUUAUUUCUAUACUGGAGAAACUGAGCUUAGGUUAUGUGAUUUAACAUCGGUUAAGCAAAAAUAUAAUGAAUCUGUCAUUGAUUAUAUUAAGAGAUUUAGAGAUGUUAGAAACCGAUGUUAUACCUUGAAUAUAACUGAUAGAGAUUUGGCUAGUCUUGCUUUUAAUGGUUUAAUUGCUCCUCUUAGAGAAAGAUUAGAUGGCCAACAAUUUCUUGAUGUUAGUCAACUUAUGCAUAGAGCUCUGGCUCAAGAAAGCCGGGUUAAGGAUAAUAAAAAACUUGUUAGACCAUAUGACAAAAGGCCUAAUGUUAAUGUGGUUGAUUACCCUGAGGCUAGUGAUAGUGAGGAGGAGGGUGAUCAUGAUAUAUAUGUUGCCGAAUGGUCAUGGACUAAUAAAAAUAAGCCUUUUGUUUGUUCUAACCUAAUGCCAACUCCUCGCAAAGAUCGACAAAGUGAAUUUAAAUAUAGUUUUGAUGUGGCCAAGUGUGAUAAGAUUUUUGAUUAUCUUUUGCAAGAAAAACAAAUUAGAUUACCUAAAGGCCAUGUCAUACCAUCUCAAGAAGAGUUGAAACGUCGUGCAUAUUAUAAAUGGCAUGAUUCUCAUUCUCAUUCUAUUAAUGAUUGCAAUGUGUUUCGACGACAGGUUCAAUCGGCCAUAGAUGAAGGACGAUUGAAGUUCACCGAUGGCUCCAAGAUGAAGCUUGAUCAUGAUCCUUUUUCGGUGAAUACAAUUAAUUUCAAUGAUAAAAAGGUGUUGAUUCGGCUGGAGCAAGCCGAAUCUACUAAGGGAAAAGGAGUGGUCAUUGGCGAACCAAGACCUAAGAUGAUAGUGCCAAAGAAGCCGGAGGUUGGCGUUUGGAAGGAAAAUAAGAAUGAAGCUUCAACUUCUAAAGCCCCUAGGAAGACCAAAGUGACUUUUGACAUGCUUUUGGAAAAGUAUGAGAAACAAGGUGGUGAGAGAGCUCGAAAUAAAGGAAAAAGACCAAGAUCACCUCCUAGGGAGCGAUUUGGUUAUUCACCAAGACGGUCGCAUUCACCUCCAUAUCAUCAUCCACAAGACAUGUCAUGGGGUUCUUAUCCAAUGCCGCCGCUGGGUUAUCCUUAUCCUUAUUACAUGCCAUGGGGAGCAACGCCGCCAAUGUUCAAUCAUAUGCCUCUAAUGCAAUUCAACCUAGGGUGGGGAGGACCAAGGAGGCCAAUUCAUGAGCAUUUGUCUUCACCAAACAACGGCCGGUUUUAUGGUAAAAAUCGGGCUAAUGAAGAAAGAAGGGAAGGAAAGCGCAUCAAGGUGGAGGGAAGGACUUCGGAAGUAAUUACCAUCAAAGAGGGGUCUCAUGAUGUGCCAAUACCUUCUGGAGAUGGAGUUGGAGUGUCCCCGAACAAAAAAUCCGAAGCCGAUACCAGCUCAUCGCAGUCGGCCGGUCUGACCGCAGCCAUACGGCCGGUCUGACCGCCGGCCCGACAGCGGUCCGACCGACGCCUCAGGCCGGUCUGACCGUACGCCGAGUGUCGGUCUGACCGGCACAUCUGGCCGGUCUGACCGAUGGUCUACGGCCGGUCUGACCGGGCUCCAGCGCCGGUUUGACAGGAGAAUUGCAAAGGACGAUGUGAGGGCUUCAUCGUCUUCAAACAAAAUUAAUAGGGGGCAUUAUUUACCUCCUGGAACAGAGCCGAAUCCUAGGUGGAUGCCUAAGGAUUUGACGUCUGCUCAAAAGAGAAGGUUGCAAUGUCUUCGGGCUCAAGAGAUAAGAGAGAAAAAAGCCGAAGAACAAAGAGAUAAAAGGUUUAAUGAGUUGCGACCACCACCGGUAUGGAGGCGUAAAUCCAUAGAGAACGAAAAGUCGGUUGUUGUAGAGGAGAAGGAGGAACAAUCGGUUGAUAAGGGUGAAUCAUCUCCAAAAGAAGACAUGGAUAUUAACAUGGUAUGUAUGUUGCCUAUGGAUUUUUGUGCUAUGGAUGAAGCCGAGGUUGCUCAAUUCUCAUUAGGUCCUAAAGAUGCGGUUUUUGAGAAGCCCGAUGAGUCAAACCGUCACAUGAAGCCUCUCUAUCUCAAAGGCCAUGUUGAUGGGAAGCCGGUCUCUAGGAUGCUAGUAGAUGGAGGUGCCGCCGUGAACUUGAUGCCGUACUCAUUAUUCAAGAAGUUAGGGCGUGAGGAUGAUGAGUUGAAGAAGACCAACAUGAUUCUCAAUGGCUUCAAUGGUGAACCAACAGAGGCAAAGGGUAUCUUUUCGGCAGAGCUCACCGUGGGAAACAAGACGCUACCAACCGCUUUCUUCAUCGUCGAUGUGCAAGGUAACUACAAUGUUAUUUUGGGUCGUUGUUGGAUUCAUGCCAAUUGUUGUGUGCCUUCUACCUUGCAUCAAUGUUUAAUUCAAUGGGACAGCGAUGAUGUUGAAAUUGUUCAAGCGGAUACAUCGGCCGAGGUUGCAAUGGCCGAUGCUACUUUUGAGUGGCGUCAUGGGAAUAUCCAAUGCUUAUCGGGGAGGGAUCUUUCUAGCUAUGAUUUUAUUAGUAUCUCUGAUGGCAAAUUUGUACCUAUCUCUGUAAAGCCGGCUAGUGUAGCACGGGUAAGCCAUAUAAAUUUGUAUAAUGAGUAAAGAGGCUAAUUUAGAGUGGUUACAAAAGAGGGUGCAAGAAUAUCGGUCUACAAAGAACGAUAUUGGUGAAACCGUUGAAGAUUUUGAUGAAGUAGAGAAGCUUGGAAAAGGGUUUACAUCAGCCGAUCCUUUGGAGGAAGUAGAUAUAGGUGAUGGAACUAAACCAAGGCCGACUUUUGUAAACAAAAAUAUGAGAGCCGAUUAUAAGGUAAAAAUAAUCGAGCUACUUAAAGAGUAUGUUGAUUGCUUUGCAUGAGAAUAUCAUGAGAUGUCGGGUCUUAACCGUGAGCUCGUUGAGCAUCGGCUUUCAAUUAAACCAGGUUUUAGGCCUUAUAAGCAAUCACCUCGUCAUUUUAAUCCUUUGCUAUAUGACUGAGUCAAAGAGGAGAUUGAUCGGUUGUUGAAGGCGGGGUUUAUUAGGCCAUGUCGUUAUGCGGAGUGGGUUUCUAGCAUAGUCCCGGUGGAGAAGAAGGGGAGUGGUAAGAUUAGAGUUUGCAUAGAUUUUAGAGAUUUAAAUAAAGCCACUCCCAAAGAUGAGUAUCCUAUGCCUAUAGCCGACAUGAUGGUUAAUGAUGCCUCGGGUCAUAAGGUGAUUAGCUUUCUAGAUGGUAAUGCCGGCUACAAUCAAAUCUUUAUGGCGGAAGAGGAUAUGUACAAGACGGCUUUUAGGUGCCCGGGAUUUGUUGGUUUGUUUGAGUGGGUUGUCAUGACCUUUGGGUUGAAGAAUGCCAGCGCGACGUAUCAAAGGGCAAUGAAUUUGAUCUUCCAUGAUUUGCUAGGUAUUAUUUUAGAGAUCUAUAUUGAUGAUAUUGUUGUCAAAUCGGAUGGUAUGGAAGGACACUUAGCCAAUUUGAGAUUAGCUUUUGAGAGGAUGCGCCGGUAUGGUUUGAAGAUGAACCCACUUAAAUGUGCUUUUGGUGUGUCGGCGGGGAAGUUCUAAGGAUUCAUGGUGCAUGAGAGAGGAGUUGAGAUUGGUCCUAAGAAGAUAGAAAAGAUUCGUGAUUUCAAAGCGCCGGCAUGCAAGAAGGAAGUACAAAAGUUGCUAGGUAAGGUGAAUUAUUUGAGAAGGUUUAUUUCUAACCUAGCGGGUAAAUCGAUACUUUUGUUCCUAUACUUCGCUUGAAAAAAGAAGCCGAUUUUACUUGGGGGGCAAAACAAGAAGAGGCGUUUGAAGAGUUGAAGAGGUAUUUGUCUACUCCACCCGUUGUGCGAGCGCCUAAAGCCGGAAAGCCUUUUCGGUUAUAUAUUACCUCCGAGGACAAAGUCAUUGGUGCCGUUUUGAUGCAAGAGGAAGAUGGCAAGGAAUAUAUCAUUACAUAUUUGAGCAGCCGUCUUUUGGAUGCCGAAACGAGGUAUGUCUUUAUAGAGAGACUUUGUUUAUGCUUAUACUAUGCUUGUACCAAAUUGAGGCAUUACUUGUUAUCUAGUACAUGCAUAGUUGCUUGUCAAGCCGAUGUUAUUAAACACAUGUUGCAAAGGCCAAUUCUAAGUGGGAGAAUUGGCAAGUGGGCAUAUGCUUUGAUAGAAUAUGAUUUGGCUUAUGAACCAUUGAAAUCUAUGAAAGGCCAAAUUGUAUGUGAUUUUAUAGUGGACCAUCAUGUAGAUAUUGCUUAUGAGGAAAAGGUUUGCUUAGUUGAAGUUAUACCUUGGAAGAUUUAUUUUGAUGGUUCUUCUUGCAAGGAAGGUCAAGGCAUAGGGGUAGUUUUGUUUUCACCUAAUGGCAUGUGUUAUGAAGUAUCGGUUCGUUUGGAGUAUUAUUGUACAAAUAAUCAAGCCGAAUACAAUGCUUUAUUAUUCGGCUUACAAGUUAUGGAGAUGGUUGGAGCUAAAUACGUGGAGGCUUUUGGUGAUUCGGAAUUGGUGGUACAACAAGUCGCCGGAGUCUACAAAUGCUUGGACGGAUCACUAAAUAGAUACCUCGAUUCAUGUUUAGAUAUUAUUGCCAAUUUUGAUAAUUUUGCUAUUAGACAUAUUGUUAGGCAUGAUAAUUCUAGAGCAAAUGACUUGGCACAACAAGCAUCUGGCUAUAAUGUGAAAAAGGGAUUAUUUCUGGUAUUAGAAGAGCCGGUGCUUGAUUUUAAAUCUUUGUGCAAAAUUGGUAAAACUGGAGACCAGGGGCGGUCUGACCAGCUGCUUGCCGUCGGUCUGACCGGCGAUCCCGAGCAGUCUGACCAGCCCUGUGUGGCCGGUCUGACCGGUUCUGGGCAGAGCACUGGGGGGCAUGUUUCAAUCAAUUUAGAGGCCGAAUUAAUUGUGAAUUUGGACGUUUGUGCCCAGGAAGCAGAACAAGAUUGGAGAAUUCCUUUGAUUCGAUAUUUGAAAGAUCCUACACUUAAGGUUGAUCGGAAAAUUCGGCGGCAAGCAUUCAAAUAUACAUUGCUUGAUGGAGAUUUGUAUCACCGAAAUAUAGAUGGUGUCUUGUUGAAGUGCUUAGAUGGAGAUCAAUCUAAAGUGGCUACGGGAGAGGUACAUGAAGGAAUUUGUGGAACUCAUCAAUCGGCCCACAAGAUGAAUUGGUUGCUUAGGAGAGUGGGGUUCUAUUGGCCGAAGAUGAUUGAUGAUUGCUCCAAAUUUUAUAGAGGAUGCGAGGCUUGUCAACGGUUCGGCAAUGUUCAAUUGGCGCCCGCCGCCGUGUUGAAUCCCAUAAUCAAACCAUGGCCGUUCCGAGGAUGGGCUUUGGAUUUCAUUGGUCAAAUUUAUCCUUCGUCAUCAAAGGGGCAUAGGUUCGUGCUAGUUGCUAUGGAUUACUUCACCAAGUGGGCCGAAGCCGUGCCUUUGAAGAAUAUGACUCAUACGGAGGAAAUUGACUUUAUUUUGAAGCAUAUUAUCCAUAGAUUCGGUAUUCCACAAACAUUAACUACGGACCAAGGUACUUCUUUUAUGUCUAAGGAAGUGAAGAGUUUUACCGAAUCUUAUGGUAUUAAAUUGUUGAGUUCUUCUCCUUACUACGCUCAGGCUAAUGGACAAGCCGAGUCGAGUAAUAAAACAUUGUUGAAGUUAGUGAAGAAGAAGAUUGAGGAAUACCCAAAGAGGUGGCAUGAGGUGCUUUCUGAAGCAUUGUGGGCGCAUAGGAUAUCUUAACAUGGUGCCACUAAAGUCAUUCCUUUUGAGUUGGUUUAUGGUCAGGAAGCCGUUUUACCGGUGGAGAUAAAUCUUGGUUCUCUUCGUUAUAUCAAGAAAGAUGAUUUGUCAAGUGAAGAUUACAAGACGUUGAUGGGAGACAACCUUGAUGAAGUCAUCGAGAAGCGCUUGAAGGCAUUGGAAGAGAUAGAGAAAGAGAAGAAGAGGGUGGCCAAGGCGUACAACAAUAGGGUGAAAGCAAAGUUGUUUCAAGUUGGAGACUUGGUUUGGAAGACAAUUUUGCCUUCGGGUACUCGAUCCAAGGAGUUCGGUAAGUGGUCUCCUAGUUGGGAGGGUCCUUAUCGAGUAUACGGCAUUGUUCGAGGGAACGCAUAUUUUUUGGAGACACUUCAAGGGGAGCGCUUUCAGCGAGCAAUCAACGGGAAAUACUUGAAGAAAUACUUCCCGAGCGUUUGGCAAGACGCUUAGGAGGUACUAUGGCCGGUAAUUAGAUUAUCGUCCUAAGACCAAAAUAUGUUCUAUGCUUUUAGAUUCACGUUGUUCAUCAAAAAAGCAGGGGGACAUGUGUUUACACCCAAAUUUGACAUCUAGGAUUAAAAUAGGAAAGAUUGCCAAAAUUUGGAAGUCUACCGGUUUCCUCCGAGUGGGCCGGUCUGACUGCCGUGUGUUGGCCGGUCAGACCGCCGGUUGAGGGCCGAUCAGACCGGUGGUGUGUGGCCGGUCUGACCGGCAGGUUCAAGUCCGACUGUGUUUCGUCGGGUCUCGAGGUUUCCUUGCUCAGGAAGGCAUGUUUCGGGUUUCCUUUGGUUUCUACCCCGAGUUGGACGUGGAGGAGGGCCUGUAGAGGGCAAGACCAACCCCUAUAUAAGGGACAUGGCCGGUUCAUUGUAAAAAACCAAUCUACAAUCAAUUAAUCAAAUCGUUUUUUCAUAUUGCUUUUAGUUUUCUCUUAGUUUGUCCAUCUUUGUCGGUUUGCGCCGUAAACCGUCCGCCGCCACUGCGAGAGUGCGACAUCUCUUUGUAGGUUUGUCCUGAAAACCUUCCGUUUUGCCCACGAGACGGGUAGUUAUCUAGAAAUCGGCUCCGUUAGCCGGUUUAGUUAUCAAAACGCAUCUAGGUUUAGCUCUUUGCUAGAUCGAGGUGGUUGGCGACUCUAGGAUCACCGCAAGGCUUAAGGUGUUGCGAUCGUGCUUGUCAACUUGUCAAAAAAGUUGCCAACAAAAACCAUGUGCUCACAACCCACCAUUACCAUGUUUUAGUUCGCAUCUUAAUAAACCAUCCUAUCACGAUUGACCAUCAUGAGCUACCAUUAAUCCAUCAUUAAGUAAUAGUGAAUCAUUAGUUAUCCCAUUCAUAUGAGCUAGCGUCUCUAAGCAUGGCUAAGCAUCCUAAUUACUUUAGCUAAAACCAUAUAAUGUUCUAGCUAAUCCAAUUAUUAACCGGGUGACAAAGUACAAGUAAUCAAUAACAAAAAGGCUAUAACAAAGGAAAUAGGUCAUUCCCACCCGAUGACAUAGUUGAAUCGAAACAAUAGCUAUAAACGGGAUCAACAUGCUCAAAGGGUUUUUUGGGAUCUAUGUGACUUGCCUUGCUGGCCUUGGAAUUCUUCAAAGUCUUCAAGACUAACCAUUCUGUCCUUUCCACACUUGAGUAGAUUCUUCAGAUAGUUCACUCUUGGGCGUUUAGGAUCAGGAUCAACAGCCCUUGUCUUGUACAGCCUCAAAGGAUUGCUUUAAGAACCAGGCUCAUCCUCAUUGCCACCAUCAUCUGACUCAGAUACAGCUGGAGAGGGAGAGCGGGGUGCAUCACGAAUGACAAUGCUACCAGCCCUCCUGGAAUGGAUCGGAAUCUGACUCCCACUGUAAAAAUCUCCAACUUUUUCUUUGCCCAAUCUUCCCCUAGGACCACGAACCGGGGGGCUCGAGUCAGCAGGAACAUCUUGAGAAAGCUUCUAUCUCUUCUCAUGAGGCAUAAUGACCACUGCAACAAGAAUCAACAAGGUUGGAGUGCAAUGGUUAAAAGAAACAGUAGCAGAAUCAAGGUUACUGGCUGAUUGGACAGAGACCGGAAGUUCCGGGCCAAGAACACCGAAACUUCCAGCCAGCAAAACUGAAGAACGGAGGAUUUAACCAGGCCAGUGCAUGUGACAAAAAAACCUAUCGAUCAGCAAUCUACAAGGUAGCAGGAACAAUUCUAUCCAAAAGGUUUUCUCCCUAGGUUCACAUAUUUAGAGAUCGGGGCAGAAACAUGAUGAACCAAAAGAGAAGAUCAAAAGUGCUACCUUGAGAGGGAAAAUCGCAAAUCGAUCACGGGAUGAACCUCCUAGCCACCAAUGUGGUUGAUUCCACGGAGAGGAAUCGAAUUUCCACGGUUGGAAGAGAAAAUCGCCGAGAGGAGCACUGUAGCGGCGGCUAGGGUUUGGGAAUCGGGGAGGAGAAGAAGUGAGGAGAGAGAUACCAGGCUUGGGCUCCCCCUGGGUAUUUAUACCCCCGACCCCCGGAAGUUCCGGUCAGUUCCGGACUGGGGUGACCGGAACUUCCGGCCUGACAGAACAGAGCGUAGUUAGGCGCAAGUUCAAUGGAAUAGAUGAGAAUUCAAUGAUUUGGAAAUGAAAACCUAUGGACAUAAAGAGACUUAUGAUGUAUAUGACCAGCCAACAAUCAACAUUACAGAACAAUGGUUAAUAUACAUCACAAGAAGGGAUAAAAACCAAAUUUUCGCAAUAAAAACACAUACAAAAUUUUUCACAAAAGGAUUUUUUUUUGGAUAAUAGAGGGAAUGUUUGAGCUUUAUUCCUGGUAUCAAGACCAUCUUCUACACAAGAAGUGAUCUCAAGACACAAAAGCUCAAUUUUUUUUAAUUUAAAUUUUAAUGACACAUGUUUGGCUAUGAAUUAGCCAACCACCCAUCACCUAAUGUUACGAGAGUCUAAGAUAUUGAGCUCACUCCUAAGCUCGCAAAACCUUUUCUCAUCUAAAGGCUUGGUGAAAAUGUCGGCUAAUUGGCUUUCAGUUCUCACAUGGGUAAGGCAUAUGUCCCCUUAGUCUCAUGAUCUCUCAAGAAGUGGUGGCGAAUGUCUAUGUGCUUGGUUCUUGAGUGUUGGACGGGAUUUUUGGCUAUUUUGAUGGCACUCUCAUUAUCACAUAGGAGUGGGAUCUUGGUGAAGUUGUAGCCAAAGUCUUUUAGGGUUUGUCUCAUCCAAAGAAGUUGGGCACAACAAGAACCGGCGGCAACAUAUUCGGCUUCGGUGGUGGAUAAGGCAAUGGAAUUUUGCUUCUUAGAGGACCAAGAAACAAGGGACCGCCCAAGGAAUUGACAAGUCCUGGUUGUACUUUUUCUAUCAACCUUACACCCGGCAUAAUCCGAAUCGGAAUAGCCCAAAAGCUCAAAGCCACAACCCUUAGGAUACCACAAGCCAAGAUUAGGAGUGUGAACUAAAUAUCUUAGAAUUCUCUUGACAGCAAUCAAAUGGCACUCUUUAGGCUCCGCUUGAAAAUGGGCACACAUGCAAACACUAAGCAUGAUGUCGGGAUGAGAUGCACAUAAGUAAAGCAAAGAUCCUAUCAUGGAGUGAUAUACCUUUUGGUCCACACAUUUACCAUUAUCGUCGAGGUCUAGGUGUCCAUUAGUAGGCAUGGGCGUCUUGAUAGGUUUGGCAUCCUCCAUCCCAAACUUCUUGAGUAUGUCUUUCACGUACUUGGUUUGAGAGAUGAAGGUGCCCUCUAGUGCUUGCUACACUUGUAGUCCGAGGAAGAAAGUCGAACUCGCCCAUCAUAGACAUCUCGAACCUUUUAGUCAUGAUUCUACUAAAUUCUUCACAAAAAGAGGCAUUAGUAGAACCAAAUAUUAUGUCAUCGACAUAAAUUUGGCAUAUGAAUAAAUCACUCUUAAAUUUUUUAGUGAAGAGAGUAGUAUCCGCCUUUCCAAUUUCAAAACCAUUUUUCAAAAGAAAAUCUCGGAGACAUUCAUACCAAGCUCUAGGGGCUUGUUUGAGCCCGUAGAGCGCCUUGUGGAGCUUGUACACAUGGUUUGGCAACUUUGGAUCCUCGAACCCCGGUGGUUGCUCCACAUAGACUAACUCCGAGAUAGGUCCAUUGAGAAAGUCACUUUUGACAUCCAUUUGGAAUAACCUAAAAUCAAGGUGAGCGGCAUAGGCUAAAAGAAUUCUAAUUGACUCAAGGCGAGCGACAGGUGCGAAGGUUUCACAAAAUUGAGACCCUCGACUUGGGUAAACCCUUGCGCAACUAACCGGGCUUUGUUCCUUACGACCACCCCAUGUUCAUCUUGCUUGUUGCGAAAGAUCCACUUGGUGCCGAUGACAUUUUGCUUGGGUCUCUCCACCAAAGUCCAUACUUGAUUGCGAGUGAAGUUAUUCAACUCCUCUUGCAUAGCCAUCACCCAAUCCGGAUCACCAAGCGCAUCUUCCACCCUGGUUGGUUCCAAAGAAGAGACAAACGAGAAGCGUUGACAAAAACUUGCGAUACGAGAGCGACUAGUUACCCCUUUUCUUAUGUCACCAAGUAUGUUGUCAACGGGAUGAUCUCUUUGGAUAGUGUGAUGUAUCCUUGAGGAUGGUGCACUGGGGGGACCUGAGCCUGAUCAGAAUGCUCUAAAGUGCCCUCAGCAUCGAUCCCAUCCACUUGUGCCGUUGGCACGUCUUCACUGCCAUUGAUCCGGAGGUUCCGGACUGUAGAACCCGGAACUUCCGGGCCUGGAGAUGUCCGGAGGUUCCGAUCAAUAGGACCCAGAACUUCUGGCUCAGCAGAUACAGCACUUGUAGGGCUAUUGGAUGUCGAUGACGGAGGUUGAUCCCUAUCUUCUUGGUCAUCCUGCGUCUCGACUGGUCGUAUGUCUCCAAUAGCCUUGGUACCUAUAGCUUGAUUUGGAUCCACAUCCCCUACAACAUGUACAACAACUUGCUCUCCUUGGGAGUCAUUAGAUUCAUCAAAUGUCACAUCCCUAGUGACUUCAACAAUACCAGAGGUUUUGUUGAAGACACGAUAGGCAUGUGCAUUUGAUUUAUAGCAAAGUAAGAAUCCCUCAUCCACCUUAGGUGAGAACUUAGAUGAGCGAGGCCUCUUACUUAAAAUAAAACAUUUGCUCCCAAAGACACGAAAAUAUGAAACAUUAGGCUUCUUACCACUCAAGAGCUCAUAUGAGGUUUUCUUUAGGAUCUUGUGGGGGUACAAGCGGUUGAUGGCAUGACAUGCGGUACUCACGGCUUCCGCCCAAAAGACAUCCAAAGUCUUGUACUCAUCAAGUAUUGCCCUUGCGGCUUCAAUGAGGGUUCGGUUCUUCCUCUCAACAAUGCCGUUUUGGGGAGGAUCAUAGGGGGCGGAGAACUCGUGCUUGAUUCCUUCUUCAUCAAGAAAUUCCUCCACUUGAGUGUUCUUGAUUCUCCUCCAUUGUCGCUUCGCACCCUCUUGAUAGUGAGAUCAUAGAGGUUUUGGGCUUGCUUUGCGAAGCGCUUGAAGACAUCUUGAGCUUCGCUUUUGUCAUGGAGAAAGUACACCCAAGUGAAGCGCGAAAAAUCAUCAACAAUGACAAAACCAUACUUGUUACCUCCAAUGCUUAUGUAGGCCACGGGCCCAAAUAAAUCCAUAUGAAGAAGCUCGAGUGGUCUUGUUGUAGUCAUGAUGUUUUUUAUAGGAUGUGGACUCCCAACUUGCUUCCCGGCUUGGCAAGCACUAAACACACGAUCUUUCUCAAAAGAAACAUUAGAUAGACCAAGAAUGUGUUCCCCUUUUAGAAGAGAUGCCAAAUUCCUCAUUCCAACAUGGACUAGCCUACGGUGCCAUAGCCAACCCAUAGAGGAUUUAGCAAUCAAGCAUGCCUCCGGAUUCACUCUAUUUACGUCGAAAUCAACGAGACAGAGAUCACCCUUUAACACUCCCUUGAAUGCUAUGCAAGAGUCAUCUCGCCUAAAAAUGGUCACAUCCACAUCGGUAAACAAGCAAUUAAAUCCUAACUUACACAAUUGAGACACGGAUAAUAAAUUGUAGCUUAAUGAAUUGACAAGGAGGACAUUAGAUAGAGAUUGAUUCUUGAAAAUGGCAAUCUUACCGAGGCCCAUUACAUUUCCUUUACCAUCAUCUCCAAUGACAAUAUUUUCACGACUUCCACCCUUCUCAUCAAGACUUGUAAACAUACUCCCCUCUCCCGUCAUAUGAUUGGUGCAGCCACUGUCCACAACCCAACUUGAGCCACCGGAGGAGUAUGCCUACAAAAGAAAUUAAGCUUGGGAUUUAGGAACCCAAACUUGUCUAAGUUUGGGUCCCUUGAUGUUAGUCACCAAAGCCUUUGGCACCCACACACAAGUGCGGUACUCAUCAUUGUAAUUCCCAUUAAAAUAAGCAACCACUUUGCCCUCUGAAUUUUUGGAAAUUACAUAUGAAUCAUAGUAAAGACCCUCUGGCCGGAACUUCCGGCCAGCCCCUUCGGCCUAUCAGAAGCCCGGAACUUCCUGACAAAAUGUCCGGAACUUCCUGUCUUACAGGGCAGGAACUUCCGGUCAUUUUGCCCGGAACUUCCGAGUGUCUGACCAGUGAGGGGACAAGUCACCUCACUUGCUUGUGGAGCUUUUCCUUCUCUUACAAACAUCAAGCAUUCUUUCCCAUUUACCAUCACACGCUUAGACACAGGACUUCCACCAGAAAACCCGAGCCCGUGUCUAUCCUUGUUAGGAUGAGCGGUGAUGGUCUUGUAAAGGGCAUCUUUUGAAUGGUAUGUCUUCAUGCAUCCAUAUCUCACCAAUGUGCCCAACCUUUCAUUCUCUUUCUUAAGAGCUUGCAUAGCAUCAACAUUAGUAGCAUGAGAGUUCAAAUCAAUAUUGUAACACCUAGCACAACCAUUGCUAGUAGAUGGGUUGGAAGAAUUAGAAACCACAUUUGGUUGAGAAGUGCUAUUCCAAAGAGUGUCAAAUUGAACUUCAAGAUCUUUAUGACUUUUGUCUAAACUAGCAAACUUCUCUUGAAGAGUUUCAUUGACAUCCCUAAGGCUAGCUAGAGAACCAUUAGCCAAAUUAAGCUCAUUAGCUAGUUGUUCAUUUUUAGCACAUUCUUUAGCUAGGCUCUCCUCUAAGGCAAGGUUUCUUUUCUUCUCAAGAAUAAGUAAUUCUUCUUGCCUUUCGAGAGAUUGUUUUUUACUAUCCAAAGCUCUCAUUAACUUAGCCAAAUGUUGCAUAGCGGGUUUGCUAAAGCUCUUAAGCACAUCAUCUAAUUCAUUAUCACUUUCCUCAUCACUAGAAUCAACAUCAAGAGAGGUGUGAGAGGGCUUUUGAGUCAUCACCUUGCAGCCUUGGGCCAUGAAACAAGAGUAGUGGUAGGAGUCCUCGUCGUCAUUACUCAAGUUGUUGAAGAGACGCUCCUUGCUUGAAGAGGAUGACUUGAAGGUGACGGUAGCAACACCACCUUCUCCUUCAACCUUGUCUUUUGGCUUGGGCUUGGGCUUGACCUCGAGAUCUUCUUCAUCUGCAGAGUACCACACCUCCGCCAUGUGUGCCUCUGCCACAUGAGCACGCUCCGGCUUCUUCUUGCCUCCCUUAGCCUUAGCUUCAUUUGACCUGGGACAAUCGGCAACGAAGUGGCCAUAUUCGUCACAAUUGAAGCAAGCUCUCUUUGAUUGCCUCUUUCCCUUAUCAUCAUACUUCCUCCCUUUGCCAUAGCCACUCUUGCGAAGAAAGUGCUUGAAUCUCUUGACAAUAAAAGCCAUUUCUUCAUCUUCACUUUCUUCACAACUUGACUCUUCUUCUUGUUUUACCUUCAAAGCUACUUCUUGAUUUUUGAUCAUGGCAGCAUUCUUCACCAUUUGCCUCACUUUACGAGCUUCCUCUUCUUGCAUCUCAUGAGACACAAUUCUUCCAAGAAUGUCAUUUGGGGUGAGCCUCUUGAAAUCUUUCCUUUCCCGUAUCAUUGAUACAAGAGUGGGAUUUCAUGGACCAAAAGCACAGAGAAGUCUCUUGACCACAAAGUGAUUUGUCAUGUCCUCACUCCCAAGUCCUUUAAUCUUGUUGACAAGGAACAUCAUCCUAUCAUACAUCUCUUCUGGUGUCUCCUUGUCAUCCAUCACAAAUCUUCCAAGCCUUUCUUCCAAUAAUUCAAUCUUGGCCUCACGAACGGCGGGUGAUCCCUCAUGAGUCAAUUGCAAAGUAUCUCAUAUCUCCUUGGCCUCCUCAAGCCCAUCAACCUUGUUGAACUCCUCCGGACUCAAGGCGGAGAGAAUUGCAUUGGAAGCUUGAGCAUUGCGGUGGAUGAGUUGCUCUUGCUCCGAAGUGAGCUCCAUGUCAUCACGGGGGUACAUCAACACCUGUACAAACAACAUUCCAAAUACUUGGAUGCAAAGAGAUUAGAUGCAACUUCAUCUUGUGCUUCCAAGUGGCAUAAUGUGUCCCAUCAAAUUGAGGAGCACGCCCGGAAGGCACGGAGACAAAGUUGUGAGGGGGAAUGGUAAGUUUACUGUAAUCAAAAGGUAUAGUAGCUCCCUUGGGUGAUGGAGUUUCCUUGCUGCUCGCUCCAUCUUCAUUUCCCAUUUCCCCGUUCUUUCCCCCUAAGUCCGACAUCGUGGAUCACUCAAAGCGGUGAAGCUUGAAUCAAGAGCACCUUGUUCUGAUACCAAUUGAAUGCGCUGAUGAAGCCUAGAGGGGGAGUGAAUAGGCUGUCCCUGAAAUCUUAAAAACAAAUCGCAUCGGUAAAAUUCAAACAGACUCGGAACUUCCUGGUAAGGAACUCCGGAACUUCCGACCUGCCAGGCCCGGAACUUCCGGUGUUCUAAGACAGGAACUUCCGGGUAACAAAACAGAGAUGAAAUUCAAAUUUCGAAACAGGAGACUAAGCCAAUCUUCACAAGAUGGUGCACAGGUAUUCUAAGCAGAGGAUAUAUCACAGAAUCAUUCACAGAAACAUCACCGAAAGAGACAAGAGCAAUUUUUUCCCGAAGUUCGGAUCUUGCGAUCCUACUCUCCGUUGAGGAGCUCCAAAAAGCUGGGUCUCGAUUAACCCCUUGCCUCACUUGUGCAAAAACCCUAGAGGAAAUCCAUAGCCUUCAACCCCAAACACUCCUAGGCAAAUUUCUAGAAUUGAGUGACCACCAAGAUCCAACUCAACCUACUUCCAGAAAUCCACCACAAGUGUGGGUUGCUCUACUUGGAAAGCCUCUAGAAUCUCAGCACAAGAACUUCACUAGCUUACCUCGUUCCCUUUCGGAGGAGAGGAAAUCCUUCACAAAUUUACCCAGGACAUCCACAAUAUGCAACGGAUUCUCGCGGGCGACACCUAACCGUCUAGGAGAUCAUCUCCAAGAGUAAUAAGCACCGAGAUGACAGCCCACGAGAUAUUCCAAGUGCUCCCCCAAGAUCCUAGUCUUCACACAUCUCCAAAUCUUCUUCUCUCCCUCUCAAUCUCUCUUUCUCACAAGAAUUAGGCUCUAGAUUGAUUGGAGAAGGCAAGAAACACUUGGGAGAGGCUAGCAAUAGCUCUAGGUUUGAAAAGUGAAAGUGGAAUGGCCAAGGAACGAGCUGGAAAUGAGCUGUAUAUGUAUAACGGCUAGGUGACGACAUCUAGCCGUUACUCACAAAUUUGAACUGGAAACAAGACAGGAAGUUCCGGACCUGGAAGACCGGAACUUCCGGACUACACUUAGGAAAAUCUUUUUCACAAGACCGGAACUUCCGGACCUGGAAGAUAGGAAGUUCCAAACUUGCAUUUUUGGACAGAUGGAGUAUUUGCAAAAAAAAAAGAACUCCUAGGGAAACUUGACACUUGGUUCACACUAAGAGCACUUGACAUAUCUCAGAGCAUCACCUAGAACCCCUCUUAAUAGUACGGUUUUUUCUAAAAACUCGAUUUCAGAAGGUAAACUAUCCUAUGCACUUCUCGAGUUCCGGUCCGCUUUGAUUUUGUACUUUUUGGGGGGUCUCCAAGCAUCCAUCUUCCACACCUUGGACUAAUGCACCUGAAAGCUACUCAAUGGGCUCAUUAGUCCCUUAACCACAUUUGUCAUUAAUCACCAAAACCCACUAGGAGGAUUAAUGCACUUUCAGGAUACAACGUACACCUGUGAGGUAUGCGUUGUUAACUACAGGACAAUGUGAUAUAUUGUUGUUAGACAAUGAUGAACCUACUACCUAUGAGAAAGCAAUGGUGGGACCAGACUCUGAGAAAUGGCUUGGAGCCAUGAAAUCCGAAAUAGAAUCCAUGCAUGUCAAUCAAGUUUGGAACUUGGUUGAUCUACCUGAUGGUGUAAAAGCCAUUGAGUGCAAAUGGGCCUUUAAGAAAAAGACAGAUGUAGAUGGAAAUGUUCACAUCUACAAGGCAUGAUUGGUGGCGAAAGGUUUCAGACAAAUUCAAGGUGUUGAUUAUGAUGAAACUUUCUCGCCAGUCGCCAUGCUAAAAUCUAUUCGAAUUGUUUUGGCGAUUGCUGCCUAUUUCGAUUAUGAGGUAUGGCAAAUGGAUGUCAAAACAACUUUCCUCAAUGGAAAUCUCGAUGAGGAUGUGUACAUGACACAACCCAAGGGUUUUGUUUAUCCACAAUCAGCUAAAAAGAUAUGCAAAUUGCAGAAAUCCAUUUAUGGGUUGAAGCACGCAUCUCGUAGUUGGAAUAUUCGUUUUGACGAAGUAGUCAAGGCGUUGGGCUUUGUCAAAAACGAAGAAGAGCCUUGUGUAUAUAAGAAGAUUAGUGGGAGCGAACUGGUGUUUCUAAUCCUAUAUGUAGAUGACAUAUUAUUGAUUGGGAACGAUAUUCCUAUGCUUGAAUCCGUUAAGACAUCGUUGAAAAAUAGUUUUUCAAUGAAGGACUUAGGGGAAGCAGCAUAUAUUCUCGGCAUAAGGAUCUAUAGAGAUAGAUCAAAGAGGCUAAUUGGAUUAAGCCAGAGUACAUACAUUGACAAGGUGUUGAAGAGGUUCAACAUGCAAGAUUCUAAGAAAGGUUUCUUACCGAUGUCACAUUGCAUUAAUCUUGGCAAGAAUCAGUGUCCUCAAACGACUGAUGAGCGAAACAAGAUGAGUGUGAUUCCAUAUGCCUCGGCAAUUGGAUCCAUCAUGUAUGCUAUGCUAUGUACACGUCCAGAUGUUUCAUAUGCAGUUAGUGCAACAAGCCGAUACCAAUCAGAUCCAGGUGAGAGUCACUGGAUAGCUGUAAAGAAUAUCCUGAAGUACUUGAGAAGAACUAAGGAUAUGUUCCUAGUCUAUGGAGGACAGGAAGAGCUCAUUGUAAAUGGAUACACCGACGCAAGCUUCCAAACCGACAAAGAUGAUUUUAGAUCGCAGUCUGUAUUUGUGUUCUGCCUGAAUGGAGGCACUGUGAGUUAGAAGAGUUGCAAGCAAUAUACAGUGGCUGAUUCUACAACAGAAGCUGAAUACAUUGCCGCUUCUGAAGCAGCAAAGGAGGCUGUUUGGAUAAAGAAAUUCGUUUCUCAACUAGGUGUGAUGACUAGUGCUUCUAGCCCUAUGGACCACUAUUGCGAUAAUAGUGGUGCCAUUGCGCAAGCCAAGGAGCCUAGAUUGCAUCAAAAGUCCAAACACAUUUUACGGCGGUAUCACCUCAUUCGCGAGAUAGUGGAUAGAGGAGAUGUGAAGAUAUGCAAAAUACAUACGGAUUUAAAUGUUGCAGAUUCGUUGACAAAGCCACUCCCUCAGCCUAAGCAUGAGGCACACACUAGGGUAAUGGGUAUAAGAUGCGUUCAUGAUUGACAAUAGUGCAAGUGGGAGACUGUUAGUGAUAUGCCCUAGAGGCAAUCAUAGAGAUGAUUGUAUCACAUACUAUGUUUACAUAUUUAUCCGACAUUGUUCCUUAAAAUAGAUAACUCCUUAUUGGUGAAUUAAUAUGUGAUUCUUUCAAGAGACUCUUUAUGUUGUUUGUUACUAUUUCUAAAGGAUCCCUGAUCAAAUAUCAUAUGUGCAACAAAUAUGUUUAUAUGAUCAGCACAUGUAUUAAUUGAUGAUCAUGUCUCAUGGAUCAUGGUAUAGAGAUACCAAAUUAAUAAUGUGGACACAUGUUGGUGAACAUGUUGUUGGAUAGACCCAACAUGAGACACUGCAAGAGCCAUGUGUUGUGUCAUCAGUGAUCUCAUUUAGUGUUGGUGUUGAAUCCUUAGACCUGAGAUUAUCAUGGUUUUCAACAUGUGUAGUAGCUUACUUAGGGACUGCUAAACGCUACUCCGUAAAUGGGUAGCUAUAAAAGUAGUUUUCGGGUAUGCUAUGAAACAUGUAAUGGGAUAUGAAUAAUCAAGAUGGGAUUUGCCCCUCCUAUGGAGAGAUAUCUCUGGGCCCCUCGAUGUUGCAGAUUAUGGAAGUGCAUGGCCAUGCCAACGGUGAUUGAGGAGUUAUAUAAUCUAUCAACAAGUUCGAUUGAAUGUUUGAGCUAUUAGAGGAUGGCACAUAUCUAGCCUUGAGCUUAAUCGAUAUCGUGAGGCAAAGUGGUUCAUACAAGUAAACACUAGAGGUUCAGCCGAUAUGAUAUUUAUGUAUGCCCGGUGGGUCAAUACGUUCUGCUAGGAGCCGCCGUUGACGCGUGGACCGAAAAGGAGUUUUCGGGUUACAGCUGAGUAUAUAUGAACCUACAGGGUCGCACGCUUAAUGGGCCGGAAUAAGGGGAUUGGAUAGAGAUCCAAUAUGAGCUUAAUUUGGAUAGGGAUCCGAAUAGGAGUCCUACGGGCCUUGGAGGCCCGAGUGAUGGAUCCUAUAUAUUCGUGAGGGGUGUGACCGGCUGAGGCAUUGCAUCACAUGAGAAACCCUAGCCGUCAGUUCCCUCCCCGAGCAAAACCCUAGCCGCGCGCGGGUGCUAGCACAUCUGCGCGUGGCAUUCCGUCCCUGUACGUGUGGAUACCAGUAGAGGCGCCGCUGGUUUGCGGUGCUGAUCGGCGUGGGUGUACGGCGAGGAGAACGCACGUGGAGGAGAAGGUCGAGCCGGUGCGAUUGACUACCUCCUCUACAUCGACGCGCGCUACUUCGCGAGAGUUCCUUCGACUUCUUAGCGUCUUCUUCUGCUACACAGCUCGUCGAGUGGUAACGAUCUAUGAUCUAAUACUUGCAUGGUUCCUGGUUUACGCGAUAGAAAAUUUUGAUUUAUGCUAUCGUAGCCUACGCGUAUCCCAACAACUGGCUCCCUCGAUCGGAUACUAUUUUCUUAGGAACACCAUGCAAACACAUAAUCCUUGCCAUAUAUAAUUUUGCCAAACUAUUUUCGGAAUAUGUUGUCCUCACAGGGAUGAAAUGAGCAACUUUGGUAAGCCUGUCGACUACCACCCAAAUAGAAUCAUGGCCAGAUGACAUUCUGGGCAGACCAGUGAUGAAAUCCAUCCCAAUUUCCUCCCACUUCCAUUCUGGUAUCUUUAAAGGCUGCAGCAAACCUGCGGGUUUCUAAUGUUCUGCCUUGACUCGCUGACAUACAUCACACACAGCUACAUACUCUGCUAUCUCACGCUUCAUAAUUGCCCACCAAAAUUUCUCCUUGAGAUCUUGGUACAUCUUGGUACUACCAGGGUGAAUGGAGUAUAAAGUGUCAUGAGCUUCCUUCAGGAUUGUAUCCUUCAACUCCUUGUUGUCUGGGACACAAAUUCUCUCGCCCAACCAUAUAGUUCCUUGCUCAUCUUCCAAAUAACCGAUAGUCUUUCCUCUUCUCAUAUACUUCUUGAGAUCUUGGAUAUCAGGAUCAUUGGUUUGAGCCUUUCUAACCUGAUCAAUAAGAGUGGGCUUCGCUUCUAAAGCUGCAACGAAAUCUCUACUGACAAUUCCCAAAUUCAGUCUUUCAAAUUCCUUGCAUAACUCCCACGGCAACUGUCGUCCUUCCGUAGCAUUGCAAUAGCCUUUCCUGCUGAGAGCAUCUGCUACAACGUUAGCCUUUCCCAGGUGGUAAUGAAUUCCCAUGUCAUAAUCCUUAAUUAAUUCCAACCAUCUCCGCUGCCUCAUGUUCAGAUCUGGCUGGGUGAAGAUAUACUUCAAACUCUUGUGAUCCGUGUACACCUCCGUACGAGUACCAAAGAGGUAGUGACGCCAAAUCUUCAAGGCAUGAACCACUGCAGCUAACUCAAGAUCAUGAGUAGGGUAAUUCAUCUCAUGAGGACGUAACUGACAAGAUGCAUAGGCAACCACCUUCCCAUCUUGCAUCAGAACACAACCUAACCCAAGCUUAGAUGCAUCGCAAUACACUUGGAAACCCUUCUUUGGAUCAGGCAAAAUCAUAAUGGGUGCUGAUAUUAUGUGACUUUUCAACUCUUGAAAACUCUGCUCACAUUCUUCUGACAACUUGUACUUCACGUCUUUCUGAAGCAGGCGUGUCAUGGGCUUAGCAAUCUUGGAAAAAUUCUCUAUGAACCUCCGGUAAUAGCCUGCAAGACCUAGGAAACUACGAAUCUCUAAAACUGUCUUCGGUUGUUUCCAAUUGGUUACAGAUUCCGCAUUACUAGGGUCAACGACAACUCCUCCAGCUGAGAUGACGUGCCCAAGAAACUUUACUUCAGACAACCAAAAUUCGCAUUUGCUAAACUUGGCAUAAAGCUGAUAUUCUCGUAACUUCUCUAAUGCAAGACGAAGUUGUUCUUCAUGCUCUUCUUUGGUUCGGGAGUAAAUAAGAAUGUCAUCAAUUAAGACCACAACGAACUUGUCCAGUUAUUCCAUAAACACCUUAUUCAUCAAGUUCAUGAUGAAAGCAGGGGCAUUGGUAAGUCCGAAAGACAUGACAGUACAUUCAAACAACCCAUACCGAGUGGUAAAAGCCGUCUUAGGUAUAUCUUCCUUUUUAAUCCUCGACUGGUGAUACCUUGAUCGAAGAUCGAUCUUGGAGAAAACAGUGGCACCUUUAAGCUGGUCAAACAAAUCUUCAAUUCUAGGCAGCGGGUACUUAUUCGUGAUGGUCACAUCAUUCAGUGCACAAUAAUCCACACACAUCCUCUGGGUAUGAUCUUUCUUCUCCACAAAAAUGACUGGAGCUCCCCAUGGAGAUGAACUUGGUCUAAUGUAUCCUUUCUGAAGCAAAUCAUCUACUUGUCUCUUGACCUCUGCUAAUUCAUUGGUUGCCAUUCUAUAAGGUCUCUUAUGGAUUGGGGUUGUCCCUGGUACCAGAUCUAUUCUGAAUUCUAUAUCUCUCUUAGGCGGCAUACCAGGUAAAUCAUCCGGGAACACAUCUAGGUAGUCCCGUACUAUGGGAAUCUCUUCCAAAGUUAUUUGGUUCAAACUUGACCUUAAAGGUUCAGAAGGCAAUGCAUGAACAGUUACAACUUGACCAUCAUUGCUGGUGAGAGUUUCUUUUCUAUUGGCACAAUCUAUCACACCUUUAUAUCUGGCUAACCAGUCCAUCCCUAGGAUGAAUCAAGGUCUUUAGAUUCUAACAAAAUAAGGUUGGUCAGAAAUGGAACACCUUGAAUCUCUAUUCUGACAGAAGGGCUACGUUGUGAUGAGAGUGCUUGGUUACUGGGGGUACUAACCAUCAAAGGACAUCUAAGAUCUUCUAUCUCCAUCCCAUGAUUUCCCACAAAACUCAUAGAUAAAAAGGAAUGUGUAGCACCAGAAUGGAAAAGCACUGUUGCAGGAACUGAGUUAACAGGAAACAUACCCAAAAUCACAUCUGGAGCACCUUUGGCUUCUACAGCAGCAACAUGAUUGACACGAGCCUUUGACGCUGGUGCAUUGGAGUUAUUCUGCACAGGAACAAUCUUCACACGUCGAGGCUUCAGAUACUUGUCAGAAUAAUGACCUGGUUCACCAUAGUUGAAACACACCCCUGGCUUGUUUCCUUGCUCCCUCUUGACAGGCGGGUGCUGGACUGGAGUUGCAACAGGACGUGGAGCUUGGUUGCGGUUGUUAUUGCCAGCAUUGUUGUUGUAGAACUGACGCUGUGGACAAACAACAGAUGAAGAUCCUCCCUGUGACACUACCUGAGGUCCCAUAGUGAGACACGGCCUCUGACUAUUCCCUUGCUGAGCUUUGAACUGAGCAAUCCUGAGUUUCUUCUGUUCCAUUCGGUUGUACUUAUCCUCCUGACGAAUGGCCUUAUCCACCAACUUUUGGAAAUCAGAAUAAUCCCCAGUCAUUAGCGGGUAAGAAAGCUCAUCAUUCAGUCCUUCUAAGAAAUUCUCUUGACGCUCUUCAUCUGUGCGCACAUCCUCCGGAGCAUAACGGGCCAGACGAUUGAACUCAUGCAUGUACUCGGUGACAGAACAGGAUCCCUGAGUGAGCGCCCUGAACUCCUUCUUCUUGAGAGACACCACUCCCGAUGGUACACGAGUCUUCCUGAAAGCAGCAGUGAACUCAAGCCAAGUGAUUGGUUCAGCAGUAGCCUUGUUGAGACAGAAGUGAUCCCACUACUCAAAGGCAGGGCCAUGAAGCUGAUAUGAAGCAAAGGAGACUUUUUCUUAGUUAGUGCACUGAAGCAGGUCCAACUUCUUUUCUAUGGCGUGUAGCCAAUCACCAGUCUCAACUGGAUUGGUAGUACUGGAAAAAGUGGGCGGCCUCAUACGAAGAAAUUCUGCUAACUUGUUCUGGGGAGGAGCAUGAUUGUUCCCCUGGUUCUGUUGGUUCUGGAGUUGUUGCAUCAUCAUGUUCAUGAGUUGCGCCUGUUGAGCUAGGACUUGGGCAAGCGUGGGAUUCUCUCCAUUGUUGUUGUUGUUGUUGUUGGGCCCAUUUCCAUUGCUGCGGGUGUUCACCAUCUGGCAUAGGCAAGAGCACAAGAAGAGAAACAAGGGGGAAAGCUACUUAGGACAGAGAAUUAAUUUCUACUAACUUGACUUUUAUUGAUCUUAACUGAGUUUCAUUAUUACAUAAAACUGAAGACUCUCACACCACUUAACUCAAACUUCCUAACACUCGAAACCAAACAAACGCAUGCAUUUACAUCCCACCAAUGAUGUAAACCUCAUGCAAGACCCACACAUAGCCAAACUUAAACAAGCAAACUAACACAACGAACUAAGUCAACGACUUAACAAGACAUGUAGUUCUUCCUGGCAUCGGAGUUGAUUGAAGGCUCGUUCGGCUCGUUCUCAUCAUCUUGAGUAGCACCCCACUCAACCUUUGAAUGGGUGCGCUUUGAAUCUUCUUCCUCCUCAUCACUUAAAUUAACGACCGGAGGAUCCACUGGGACUAGGACAGCUUCUCUUGCCACCACACGAACCUUGGGCACCAACUGGUAGCAGGGAACAAAAAGAGCUCUCUUCCUUGCAGUAAGAUGAACCCUGGCCUUCUGUGGUGGCGCUUCUCCCUUCAAUUCGGCCAGUUCCUUCUCUAGACGAUCAACCUUGUCCUCUAGCUUGCAAAUCUUACCACGGUUCCAAUCUUCACGAGCUUGAGCAGCUGACACAACUUCAGCGCGGGACUCAUCCAUGGCCCACAGCAUCUCGACCAAAUGUCUUAUGGUAGCAUCAUUCUCAAUUCCUUCAGGAUCAACAUAGCUGGCACGGUCACUUCCCUGGGGCUGACGAGGAUGGCAACGAUACUCAGUGUCGGCCAACAGAUCAUUGUAACGGUCGCGGAGCUCUCCUAUGGCGAUCCUUGCCGCCUCCUGACAAGCAUAAGGAUAGCUUCCCCCUCUAGCCUCGAACAUCAUCGAUGGGAUGUCUUCACGAUCACUGUUCAAGGUGACCAUGACACGGCACUUCUCUUCAUCACGAUCAUGAGGAAUCUGGGCAUACAAAGGGGCAGUCUCGAAUCCUAUGGUAAAGGACAUCGUACGCAGCUCCUGGACAAAUCCCUCAAUACCGAACAAGUACUCAGGCUUGAAGCGUGGCAUCUAAAGACAAGUGAAAGGAGGGAGUUAAGACAUUUCUCCAAUUAAUAGCACAAGGUUUUGGAUUAAAUUGAAUAAAGUUAGAAAAUCGAAGUGAAAGGUAAAUAAAGUAAACUAAGAUAAGUUGGAACUGUUGAAAACAGGAUCACAAAUUUUUGCACUUUUGAAUAACAGGUUUAAAAAAAGCUAAAAUAAAAGAGAGUUAUAAAAUCAACAUGCUAAGUUUAUUAUAUUGCAACAUGAUUAAAUAAAAAUAAUGUUGUAAAACCUUUGCUGGUAAAUGGGUCAUUAGUACAGUAAUAGAUGUACAGUACUAACAACACAGGAAUAAUAAGUAAAUUUUUAAUGAGAACAAUUAAAGAGACUAUAAUCUGCAUGUGCCAUUAGCUUGGUUUAAUUAAAAGAGAAAGAGAGAAGAACAGUUCUACUUUUUUAAUAUUUUUAGAGGGCUUCUAUAGGUAACCAUUUGGCAUAACCUAGGGUCAAGGAGGCUCUGAUACCAACUUGUCACGCCCAGAAUUUCUAUCCAAAACUCCAAACACUUACAUGUGUGAAAACCCUCGUCCAGGAAUCAGUCGAGGCAUACAAUAACAAAUUGAUAAUAGAGUGCAAUUAUUACUCUAAUUAAUAGACGGAUAUAAAUUCAUUACAGAGAUAGAUAGUUCCUCUCAAACAAUAAAGAUCUAAGCAGCGGAAAAUAAAAUAAAGAGCGUAGGCGACUCCAUCCCACAAGCAGCUUGACCAGGGCUACGCCUAAUCCUCCACACCUUCAGCCUCACUAUAGAACUCCUCUGAUGAAUGGUUGCAAGGUGAGUAUAUGACAUACUCAAUAAGCCAUGCAGCAAAUAUGCAAGUGCAGGGGAUAACAAAGGAUGGCAUAAUAUAGUCUCAUUUGCAUAAAUGGCAAUCAAUAAAUACUUCAGAAUUUAGAAAAACAGUAAAGCAUUUAAUUAAACAAUAUUAAUCCAACUCUAUACAACAUACCCGUUGCAUAGGCCCAACCAUUCUGAACAACCAUUCCCGGCUGCACAGUUCUAUCUCCAAACCAGGAAUAUACCAUUCCAAACCAGGAGCUAAACAAGUUAUUACCAAUUACAGCAUCAUUUAUUAUGGUGAGAGGUGUGAGACUAAUCACAAAAGACAUUGUUAGACCCGCCCAUAACCGCGGGCACGGCUAUUCGAAUAGUUUUACUCUGGCCAGAGGUGUACCACUGUACCCACAAGACACAACCUCAACAUCAUGUCAACCAUGCGUCGCGAUACUUAACAAGAACUCGAAUAGAGAUUGUGAAUAGAGAUUGUGACAAUACCCUCCGCAAAACACAAUUCAAAGCAGUGCACCUUUCCUGGAUCAUAAUCACCCCCUUAUAAAACAAGGCAUGGACUCCCCAGCGACCCCCGUGGGCUUAUCUCUGCCACUUCUCAGUCUGGUUCAACACAAUGAACCACACUAUACAAAAGGUAAAGCCGUUGCCCACGCUGGCUUGUGGUUGGCACGGUUAAUGUUUCACAACCAAAAAUCGUGAACCGGUCCUUAAUUGUCAUGAGCACGACCAUCAAAACCAUGUGCUCACAACCCACCAUUACCAUGUUUUAGUUGGCAUCUUAAUAAACCAUCCUAUCACGAUUGACCAUCAUGAGCUACCAUUAAUCGAUCAUUAAGUAAUAGUGAAUCAUUAGUUAUCCCAUUCAUAUGAGCUAGUGUCUCUAACCAUGGCUAAGCAUCCUAAUUACUUUAGCUAAAACCAUAUAAUGUUCUUGCUAAUCAAAUUUGUCGACGUUUGAUGUCGCAAUUCUGGUAUUUGCAUAGUAUGGCGAUCGUCGGUGCUAGGAUACAUGCGAGACUGAGGUAAUAACCCUACAUCCUGUAUUGUCAGGUAAUAACCCUACAUCCUGUAUUGUCAGGUAAUAACCCUACAUCCUGUUUGGGGUAGCCUAUCUAACUGUUGUCGACAUGGCGGUCUGACUCGUAGUCGACAACAGGGUAGCCUUCUCCUCGAAUCCGUGCCCGGCAAGAUCAGAGAUAGCGCUUUCGUCUCUCCUGACAGUAUCCGGAGACACCGUAGGGUACUAGCCGUGCUUAUCCCUGAAGUCGAUAUCCGGCGGCGUGUCUUGGCGUAUGUAGGCUUCCAUGUUGUGGCUUCUAUGUCGAUUGUGUUGAGUGUUGAUCCUCUAUGGUGGGUGCCGAUCGUGUUGAUCGUCUCCUCUCCCCUCUCCUCCUAGGGGGGCUUGUAUUUAUACCCAUAGGUAUCCCCUUGUCCAAGUAGAACUAGUGAAACCAAUAUGGAUACAAUCCGAGUAGUCCUUAUCGUUUCCAUGUAGAACUCUGGUUGUCAUUCCUUAUCCGGAACUCCUCCUAUAUCCGAAGGUGCUUCCGUAUAGGAUAUGGUAUAUAGUGGGUCCUGCCGAGAUUUAGUCAACUACUAUUAAGUAUGUGGUAUCCAUAACCCUGACAGUAGCCCCCGACUUCGAUGCAAAUGAACGAGUUCAUAUUCUCAACCGCAGACUUUGGAGGAACUGUUAUCGAGCUCAUGUGACCGUUCUCGGUGAGUUUAGAGAUAACGUUAGACUUCCUCUAUCAGCCUCGUGCGGGCACCGAAAGGGUUUGUCUAAGUCAAUCUCUGAUGUCGACCGAGAAAGUACAGAGCGUACAACUAAGUCUCCCGUCUUGCUGUAAUCGAGAAUUUGGAUUGAAGUCAAGAAAUUUUAUCUCGGCGGGUACACCAUCUCUUCAUUCCGUAUUCCUCAACAAUACUUAGAAAAGAAUAGAAUUUUCCUGAAAUCAAUACUCAGAAAAGAAUAUUAGAUAGAAAUAACCCCUGAGCGAAUGCUCAAAGGGUGACAUGUUAUAAAAUGACAGACUAGUGAAUUGAAUGUACAGACCAGUGUUUUGUAUAUGAGCGUCUUCUCUCUUACCGACUCCGAUCAGUCAGUUUGCAGAGUCAUACACUCUCCCUAGCCCCCAGCCUUGUCGUCGGAGAAUCGUUCUCGGAUGACAAGGCUCUUGGACCUUUGACCUGCCUCGGUUGAACAAGCACUGAUCCUAGCCCCCAGCCAUGAAGUUGGAAAACUCAAUUUCCAAUUACACGGCUUGGUUAAUACGCACGGCGAGAACUCUUACACGACCAGAUCUUACGUGGUCUUUCGUCUCUGAAGGAUCAAACAAGGCCUUAUCGGCUCUGGGCGUCCCCAGCCGAAGUUCCCUUAGGUUCCUCGGAGGCCUUGUCAUGACGGCGUAAAGGGACAAUAUGAUAGGUUUCAACGCUAGGUGUCUUUUGUGGUAAGGGAUCUCUGGGUAAAACACUUGGCGAUCUUGUGUACCUGAUAUCAACUUUGUUGGAGUACAGGUAAUGGGAGAAUCGCUACACCGCUGGUCGAGGACCAGGCAGUGGUCGUAACUCGACCACUUAAAGUGGAAGUAGUGGGAGAAUCGCUACACCGCUGGUCGAGGACCAGGCAGUAGUCGUAACUCGACCACUAGAAGUGGAAAUAGUGGGAGAAUCGCUACACAGCUGGUCAAGAACCAAGCAGUAGUCGUAACUCAACCACUGUAAGUAAAUGUACGAGAGAUCGCUACGAUUGACUGGUUGAGAACCAGUGAGUAGGUGUCUCUCGAUCAUUUGAAUUCAUGGUGCUAGGACCGUUGCGCUAUUGCUGUAGUCGUACCUCGACCAUCUAAGGUUGCGGUGCGAGAGAUUGCUACGUACUGGUUCGAGGACCAGCGAACACGCAGAAUCAUCUCUCAACACCAAUGGAGGUUGCGGUGCGAGAGAUUGCUACGUACUGGUUCGAGGACCAGCGAACGUGUAGAAUUAUCUCUCGAACACCGAUGGAAGCUUGCGGUGCGAGAGAUUACUAUGUACUGGUUCGAGGACCAGCGAACGUGUAGAAUGAUCUCUCGCACACCAAUGGAAGUGCUAGAGUUGGUUUAUUAUGUGCGUCUCAUGUGACCAGGAUGACUCAUGCACCCAACUUGUAGCAUAUCCGGAUGUCCGUUCACAAUCAUGUCAGGUGAUCAAGCCGACGACGUUCGCGAGGAAUUAUCCGUUAACAACCUUUUCUCGAGUAGUCCAGCGAUGGCCAAUGCUAUGAGAUAGGUCGUCGGUCUUCGUUGGUAGGUUGGGCGCGACGACUCUGCAUUUGUCGAGAUCGUUCUCGAUAAUGUGGUGUACUCGACCACAACUUACUCGAGUGCUCAAUUGUUCCUGAAAAAUAUUUUCUAGAAGGCAGGAUAUAUAGCAGAGAAUAUCGAGUAUGUACUCAAAAAACUGCAUGGAUCUUCUAGUAUUAUCAGGAUAUAACGAGCAGAUGUAAAUGUCAGGGCAUUAUGUAAACCGUAAACAAGCAUGAUUUAUACAGAAGAAGACAGAGCAAGCCCCCAGCGUUAGAUCGUAGUCGAUUUAACAUCGGGGACACCCGCGCAACCGAUAUUAUUGUAUAAAGAACAUGCUCUAGGUAAACAUAAUAAAUCAUGGAUCUGACAAUGCUGUAUGAUCUGAAUAGGUACGAUAAAUUGCAGAUAAAAUAUUGCGUACCUUUGUAGAUACAUGCCGGAUGUAUCUACGAAAUUAGUAGAUCAAUUUGAAAAACCAAUCUACCAAUUACCUUAUUGUGUACUCGUUCGACAUCAUAUGAUCUGACAUCUUUUGGUACGCUGCGUAUCUUGAGGCUUGGAUGAUCUCGAUAGACCAAGUUGUCAAUGACGAUGAUGGUCCUGAUCUAGUCGGAAGAUGUACUUGGACAAGUUGGAUCUCCCCACAGCCGAAGUCAUCGAGUAGCUUGUUGUUGGAGAAUCCAUCUUUUGAACCCAUCUCGUCAAAAUCCUGAAGCACCAAAAUCCCCCUACCUAGCGCGCCACUGUCGACGUUUGAUGUCGCAAUUCUGGUAUUUGCAUAGUAUGGGGAUCGUCGGUGCUAGGAUAUAUGCGAGACUGAGGUAAAAGAGAUGGAGACAGGGAUUUUUAUACAGGUUCGGGCCCCUAAAUUGUCAGGUAAUAACCCUACAUCCUGUUGGCCGAAGCCGGUAUUGCUCUUAUUCAUGAUAAUCACACCAGUACAAUAUUUAGGGUAGCCUAUCUAACUGUUGUCGACAUGGCGGUCUGACUCAUAGUCGACAAUAGGGUAGCCUUUCUCCUCGCAUCCGUGCCUGGCAAGAUCAGAGAUAGCGCUUUCGUCUCUCUUGACAGUAUUCGGAAGUCGUGCUUAUCCCUGAAGUCGAUAUCCGGCGGCGUGUCUUGGCGUAUGUAGGCUUCCAUGUUGUGGCUUCUAUGUCGAUUGUGUUGAGUGUUGAUCCUCCAUGGUGGGUGCCGAUCGUGUUGAUCGUCUCCUCUCCCCUCUCCUCCUAAGGGGGCUUGUAUUUAUACUCAUUGGUGUCCCCUUGUCCAAGUAGAACUAGGGAAACCAAUAUGGAUACAAUCCGAGUAGUCCUUCUCGUUUUCAUGUAGAACUCUGGUUGUCUUUCCUUAUCCGGAACUCCUCAUAUAUCCGAAGGUUGCUUCCGUAUAGGAUAUGGUAUGUAGUGGGUCCUGCUGAGAUUUAGUCAACUACUAUUAGGUAUGUGGUAACCAUAACCCUGACACAAUUAUUAACCAGGUGACAAAGUAUUGGUAAUCAAUAACAAAAUGACUAUAACAAAGGAAAUAGUUCAUUCCCACCCGAUGUAUUCAAAAAUAAAUGCAAUAGUUGAAUAGAAACAAUAGAUUUAAACAGGAUUAACAUGCUCCAAGGGUUGUUUGGGAUCUGUGUGACUUGCCUUGCUGGCCUUGGAAUUCUUCAAAGUCUUCUCCUACAAAAUCGGACUCUCCGAGAACGUCGGAAUCUAAGCAUAAAAGAGUAAAAUCACCAAAACAGUACACAAACAAUCAUAAACAGCACAUGUGGAUAUUUUUAACAUGUAGAUCUCAAUUUUAGAACAAUUUAGAGACUUGAACCAACAAAAUCCGAGCUAAGAUGAAUUAGUUAUGAAUUUUUAAAGAUUAAAUCGGAUUAAAUCAUUUAUAUAGAUUUUAAUUGGAUUAUGAUGCAAUAAAGAAUUAUUUUUGAAACGGAAAAAGGAUUUAUUGCGUCAGCGGGGCUCGGGUUCAUGGUGGACCGAGUGGACAGAAGCGGUCUACGGAACGAACGGCUGAGAUCUAAUCUAAACAAAACGAACGGCCGAGAUCUAACCGACCUACCAUGGGUCUACGGCUGACGUGGCGCGGACGUCGACGAUGACGUCAUUGCCGACGGCGGCUCGGCACCACUUGCUUGCCGGCGAACGACGGCGCGGCGGCGCAAACGAACAACACCUAUAGGUAGAGGGUGAAGUGGCGAACUCACCGAGGGCUCGGACGAUGACGGACGACAAACGACGGCGACGGCGGCGAGGGCGAGGCAGCGAAGAUGUUCGGGUCGACGACAACGGCGAUGCUCCGGCGAUCUUUGGUGGAAACGGAGUACGGGACGAGGACGGCGACGACUUGGUGAUCCCGACGGCGACCUUCCCGAGCGACGACGACGACCAGAGCGGCGGCGGCGCACGGCUGGACUUGCGGCGGCGACGACGGCGCACGGGCUGACGUGGAGGCGGCGCUACAAGCGACGGCGGGCUAGGGUGAAGGUGGCGGCGAACAGAGGAGGUCCUGAGGAUCCUUUUAUAGGUGCUAGGGGGCGGCAGCUAGGCCCAUGGCGUCCGGCGGAGGCUUGUGCGUGGCUAGGGCGCGGCUGGCGGCGGGAGAUGGAAGACGACCCCGACAGGUGGGCCCCACCCGCCAGCGGGAGAGAAGAGGGAGAGAGGGCGGAUUGGCUUGAUGGGCCGGCUUGGGCCGAGCGCGAGCAGGCCGGAGAGAAAGAGAGACUUGGGCUAACUCUCGGCCCAAAACCAAAAGAAGGAUUUUUAAACCUUUUUCCUUUUAAAUUAUUCAUGAAAUGCAAUUCCAUUUAUUAUAGUUACUUUCUUGGCUCAAAUAAAUCCUAGAAAAAUCUAGGAACUAAUCAAGUGAAGUAUUUGAUAAAAUUUUAUCUAGCCCACUUUUAUAUUUGAAUUUAUUACUUAAAAUUAGAUCUUUUCUUCUAGGCUUUUAAAAUCAUUUCUAAUAAUUCCAUUUAAACAACAAUUUAUAAAUUUGGGAUUUUUACGGUGUGACAUCUAAGCUAGGUGGAAAGAAAAGAGAAAGAGAAUCUAUUCCUAUACUUCUAAUACACAUAGUAUACAUACAUUCUAGUUAACUGAUAUACUAGCUAAUACCCUCUAUCCGAUGCCCUCCUGGUACUUCGAGAAACCACCCCUGACUGCCGAGUUCCUUACGACAGCCCGUCAUGACCAUCCAACCGGGGCUAAAUACGGAGGAAUACCCUCCCCAGGAAAUUAACUUAGGAUUAUAUAUAGGCGCGGAGGAAUACUCGUAGUGAGCUGUCACCAUCAGCGGCUCACCUCUUAUCCGCAAUAUGUAACCCCAAAUAAUGAUAUCCCGUACUCUAGACACCACGCCUAAACUACCAAAUACUACUCUAAUAUCAUCGUCAUGACAUAGAGUAAUUGCAUAAGCAAACACUAUACCCGCACCAAAGCAUCUCCCAGAUUAGCUAGCCGUAUAUUCAGUAUAACAUGAACAUAAUGUAAAGUUGGUACUUAUAUACUCGGAAAGUAUUUCAAUACUAGAAAUGUAUUUAGAAGAGUAUUCGGAUAAAAGUACAAAGCUUACAAAAGAGGAAAGGAAAGCUACUAUAGCCAUACCCGAACUCUUCCAAAGGCUUCCGGACUCCUGAUUCCUAUUCUAAUUCUAUUCCACCAGCUAGAUAAUACUAAACUAAACUUGAGAGGAAUGAGAGACCUCUUGCUUGAGGUGUGUGAGUGAAGUGAGAAGGUGAAAUCCUUUUAUAGCUGAACUAUGACGGUUGUGACGGUUGGAAUGGUCGGUAAUACCCUCCAACCGUCAUUGGGGCUUCAUCUCCACCAUCCAGCCAAAACCUGGGGCUGACCCAACCCAGCCAAAUUUCGGCUGGCGGCCUCCUCUGCUGCUUUACUUCGUAGACUUGUGAAUUUUGGCCUGAUUCAUCGUGUCAAGUCUGCGUUCUUCACCCAUUCAUACAUAAGUAUGGUUCUCAACAUCGUCCGAUUGAUUUAUCGUCUGAGUUGAUGUCGAUUCUCCUUCACUUUAUUGUCAUUCUCUGCAAAAGGUUAGUAGACCUAAUACUAGUGGAAUAUUAUUAUUCUAACAUAUUUAUGCAUUGCAAGCAUCACUAGUUCUCUCCUGUUUUAGUAAUAUUGACAGUCGAAACUGAUCGAUAACGACCGUCGAUAAAAAUCUCCAUCCCAAACUUUUCCAGACAGGCAAUCAAUCCCGUCCAUCUCCCAAAGAGCUAAAUCGGCACUAGCAACGUUAAUUGACCUGUCGGCUGGCACGAUCUCAAUCUUGUCACCUUGCCAUUGAAUCAAGCACUGAUGCAUGGUCAAAGGAAUACAUCAAUUAGCGUGAAUCCAAUCCCUUCCAAGCAAUAGGCUAUAAGAACCCUUCCCAUCGAUGACAAAAAAUGUUGUAGGAACGGUCUUGCUACUGACUGUCAGCUCCACAUUUGGUCUCCAAUGGAUUGCCGCCAAAAUCUUUGAGAACCAUGUUUGUCUUGAUAAGAUCAUCUGAACUUCUGCCCAGCUUCCUGAAUGUAGCCUAUGCCAUCAAAUUUACAGCAGCCCCACCAUCAACCAUCAUCUUAGACAUCGGCUUCCCAUUGACAAACCCGUUAACAUACAAUGGCUUGAGAUGCCGAUUCUCUGUCCCCUCUGGUUUCUCAAAAAUUGCUUGCUCUGGCGACAAAACCAAUCUAGCAGAGGCCUCUUCAACAUCAUCAACAUUGGCUUAUCUAGCGUCAAAUUCUGCAGGUAACAUAAACACCAUGUUCACCGAUGUAGAUGCGACAUUCUUUCCUCUAGCCAACCUUUUUGCUUUGUCGGCCUCAACUUCAUCGGCUGUUGCAACCUUACUCUUGACACGCCACUCAUGCCUGGGUUUUGUCUUUUUUAGCCAAUGAUUGAUUUCUUGUUCUACCUCCUGGAAACGCUCCCUGUUCCUCAUCCGUUGAACCCUCCUCUUCUGAUUCUUCGUGAAAAUACCAGAAGAGCACCAUUGCGUCUUCCUAUCCUCGUUCUCAUCUUGAUGACAAUCUUGAUUGACCGGACCCAACCUCUAAUGAACAGGAACCCUCUUAUCACUCAGCCGAUUGCUUCUAUCAUAAGAUCGGCUUGAACUUCCUGCGUUGUCAUUGCAGCCAGGGCAAUCUUCAAUUGAUGGCAGCCUCAUCCCCUCAUUCUAGCAAAACCUGAAGAACUCACAACCCUAAUGAGGACCAAAACCACCAUCAUCUUGCUCGUAGUACUUCUCCUGUUGCUUAUCAUGCCUUUUCUGAUAUUUAUUGACGAUCUUGGCUGAAUUCAACUGAGAACUUCGAGUCUUUCCUCCAUCAGCUGCUCUGCCAGCUGUGUGCACCAUGUUGACGAGAAAAGGAAGUCUCUCCACCUUCAUCGGCUUUUUAGAAUCAUCAAACUUGAUCUUUCCUCCUUCAAUAGCCGUUUGGAUCUGCUGCCUAAAGACUUUACAAUCAUUGGUGGAGUAGGAAUCAGAAUUAUGCCACUUGCAAUACUUCCUUUUCCCUAGCUCUUCAGCCGAUGGUAUUAUGUGGCUAGCAAGAAGUUGUAUCUGCUUCUCCUGAAGUAGCAAGUCAAAAAUUUUAUCAGCUUUAGUAAUAUCAAUGUCAUACCUCUCUUCCUUUCUAGAACUCGGCAGUCCACCGGGUAGGUUUGUUUAUCCUUCCUUUUUCGAGUGUCUUCUUGGAUAGUUAUAGUGGCCCAUAGGCGCAGAAUCUGAUAUGGAAAACAAUGCUUUCUGACAACUAAUCACUGGAAGCACCCGAUUCUCUCUACUCUGUUUCACCUCUCUUUCUUUUGGCUUCUUCUUGAGAAUAUUUUUGCAUUCUAGUUCAAUAGUUUCUUUUUGAUUUACAGAUCAAACAAAAGAAAAAACAUUACAGAAUCUCAAACAAAAUAAAAUCACACAUAUAAGGAUACACGUGAUUGAUCUUCUUGAAACUUUUCUUAGCCUCCACAAACCUUUGCUCAUGCAUGGUCAAACUUUCAAACUCCUGCGAUGAAAAUUUCUCCUUGAUCGGAGCUAUCAAACCCUGGAAUGCGAGAUCGGUUAACUGGGAAUCUGUCAAAGACAAGCUGUAACACUUGUUCCUCAUAUCUCUGAACCUCUGUAUGUAAUCUUGCAUAGUUUCAUCAUGCCUCUGCCUAACCGCCGUGAAAUUAGAGAGCUUCAUCUGAUGGGUCCCGCUGUAGAAGUAACUAUGGAAUUGUUUCUCCAAGUCGACCCAACCUUGAACAGAAUUGCAGGGCAAUGAAGAAAACCAUGUGAAUGCUGAUCUGGACAAAGACAAAGGAAACAACCGAACUCUUAAAGCAUCGACAGCCGAUGCUUCUCCACAUUGAGCCAAGAAUCGGCUGACAUGCUCGUACGUCGAAAUGUUGUUUUGCCCUGAGAACUUUGAAAAAUCUAGCACUUUGUAUCGGUUCGGCAGUGGAACUCUCUCAAACCACUCAGGAUAAGGGUGCCGAUACAAAUUUCCAAUGUCUUUUGGCUUAAGCCCAAACUGCUCCCUCAUCACAUCUGCAAUCAUAUCGGCCCAUGGCUUCUACUGGGGCACUCCUUGCACUUGUUGCUGCAUCGGCUCGAACUGAUUGAGCUGGGAAACAAAUUGGGACUGAGGUGAUCCUCCUUGCUGAUACUGAAUAUGAAGGAGGCUGGUAUUGAUAAUUCAAAUUAACCCCCUGAUAAUUCUGGAAAUUUGGCUUUACAUUAUGCACCAAAUGCUCAAGAAUAACUUGGGCUACAACCGAUUGAUUUGGUUGUACACUAUGUACCAGGUGCUCAGGAAUAACUUGGGCCACAUUUUGUUGCCUCUGCCGAUUAUCAGGUGUUCUCAGGCCAGGUGAUAUCUACUGCACCGUCUGCUACUGAAUCGGCUAAGCCAUCUGUUCUCUUGGUGACAUCUACUGAAUUGGUGCUGACUGUACUGGCUCGACAAUCGGCUGAGUUGUUGGGAACAUUGUAGCAGUCUGCUCCUGAGUCAGCCGAUUGAUGUUCUGCCCAACAUGUUGCGGCUGGUCUCUAGACAAGAGACGAGGAUUAACCACCUGCCUUUGAGCUGACGAAGGUGCAACCGGUGCUGGAGCAUAAACUGUUGCCGUCGGCUGGACUGAUGGUGCAUUGGAAGCAUGCUGCUGAUUUCCUAUCACCAAAUUCCUGUAGUUUGGGAAGACACCACCUGGUAGGUAGACUGGCCCCAUGUUCUCAUACUCAGCUAUCGUGCCAUCAAUGACAAAUUUGAUCUUAUUUGUUAGUGUAUUGACAAGCACUCCAGAUUGGUUGAUCAAGGCACGUUGUACGGCAUAAUCAACUUGGUCUUGGAAAUUUGUGCACCUAGGAGGUUCCUCCCGCACUUCAGUACCAUCUUCACCAAGAUCUUCAACCACACCAUCUUGAAGCCCAUCACCUUUAUCGCCUGAGCCAUCUGCAGUACCUUUACCACCUUGGGAUGAACUUGUUCCAACUUCAUCGGCAGCAACCACCUUCACCUUGUACUUUUGGAUAACUUUUCCUUGUCGGGUUGCUGCAAACGAUUUCAUGAACUGCUCCUGAGCGCUCUUCAUCAUCAGUUCAUACUCCUUCUUUUGUUCUGGUGAUAACUUGUCUACAGUGACUGGGACGAUGUUUGUCUCAUUGACCUUGGACUCAACCCCAAUUGAAGGUAGAUUAGUCCCUGGAGGUUUCGGCAGCUUGGUUUGAGGAGGCACUGGCGGCUUGCCUGUUAAUGGCGGUGAUUGCUUUUCUGCUGACAUUGUUAUUACUUGUCGGUCCCACCAGGCAUGCCAAAAGCGUGUUGAUGCGAAAAACGCACACUGCCUGGAAGAUCUGCUUAACUUCAGUGCAGAUCCAAAAUCUUGCUUUUAGGUUCGUGAGCGUGCCAGUUGAUUUGAUCCUGCAAUCAACAAGAAAGAAAAACAAGAAAAACCGCGGUUAAAUCCAUAAACGAUAGCCGAUCGACCAGUCGCCGAUGACAUAUCAUGUAUUUUCAAGCCGAUGUCAUAUGUGAAUCGAUCGGCAAUUAUAAGUACGCAAAGUAAGACUAAAUCUACUCGAUCGGCUGUAGAUAUUAACGUUAUGUAAUCCUUCUGUUGAUGUAUAUUUAAACCAAGUGAUUGGGAUAGAUCGGUCGCCAUACUGAGACAGUAUAAAUCACUUAGAUCGAAGUAUACAUUAACACAAAGAUUAUAAACGCUUAUAGCAUAGCCGAUCAGAUAGAUCUAGCAUGUAUCGGCUAGUACUCCGAUACCACUCUAUAUUAAGAUAUUAGAACAAGUAGAAUAUAUCAAACAAGUAGCUUAAUAUACUUUAUUGCAAUAGGAUCUUAAUAUAAAGGGCAGACUUAGCAUAUCAAUCAAGCACAAUCAGGUAAGAUCAGCUAAAACCCCGAUACUAUCUCUCUUGAUAAUCAUAAAACAUGCCAGAUAUCAUAAUUACAGAUAUUACUUAAUAGAUCGAUCUCAACCGAUGCAGCAUUAAGCAUAAAGACAAGUAUAAGAUCUAGGCAAGAUGAUGAAAAACUCUAAGAGAUGGUAGAUACACGAUACAAUCUAGAUUAAUAACAGAACAUAACCCUAUCGAUUGUUUUCUAGCAAUAAGAACCAGUCGAUAACAAGUUAUAUAAUGCGACUAACAAAGAUUGCGACGUGUAUAUGAUAACUCGACGAAUUACAUAAACAGGAUUAGAGUGUCAUAAAUAUGGAAGCACUAAUCCCGAUAACGCAAGCCGCCAUGACAAGUUUACCUCUAGUUGAAGAUCAAAUCGAUGCAGCUCAACCCGAAAGCAAGAACUCGCCGAAAUAGAACGAAAGUAAAAAGGGUGGCGAUGCGCCGAAAGUGUAUUGAUCGUGUGAUGAUUGAUUACAUGGGUUCGGGUUAUAUUUAUACCCGAGAUUACAAAAUAUGUCCUUGCCGGACACGACACUUAUCUCUAAUAAACUCUAAGAUACCAUAAGCCUUUACGGCAGACUUUUGCCCAAACAUAUCUCUAAGAAAAUUACAUGAAAUAUCCUAAUUAAUAGAUACAUUUGCCUAUCCGAGAACUUUAUCUCCAUCGUGGCAAUCCUCGUGAAGCAAUUUGAUCGAUUCUAGAAACAUCCUUGAAACCAUCGUCAUCGGAAUCGGCUGCAUCACCUCUAUCGGCUGUAUCGGCUGUCCUCUAUCCGAUCCAUCUCAGCCGAUGCAGACUCCAGCCGAUGCCUUCACAGCCGAUGCAAACUCUGUUCUUCGAAUCUAUCUCUUUACCGAAUCCGCCUCGAUUCCAAUGUCGAACCUGGUUCAUAUCUUACCAAAUUUGGUCGUCAACAGGGUGACAGAACUUGGAGCGUACGGAAGGAGGUAUUGAACCUAAUCCCUCUUUAGGUCAAAUCAUAGUUCUUGAGUAUUUUGUUCGAUGCGGUUUUCUACCCCCUCCUUCCGAAUUUUUUCUCUUGAUCCUCAACUUCUAUGGCCUACAUCUGCUCCACCUAAACCCCAACUCAAUCACCUUCCUAGAUCUGUUUUAGGCAUUUUUAUGAGCUCAGAUGGAUAGAGUCCCACAGAAUCUCCGAAUGUUGUGGUUUUCCAUCUCCUGGACGGGAUGAAGGCAGAGCACAUCCCCUUCGACUGCCCUUCCUCAAGGAGCUUAUGGAGGUCUAAAUGGUUCUACCUCCAUGUAGAGGACCGCCCCUCCAACCUUGCCAUCCUAGAAGAGAAACCCGAACGGCCUCCCUCUUGGACAUCCAAACCUUCAUUGAACCCUCACUCCAAGUUUCCAUAGAAAAAAUCCACGACCUCCGAGAAUGAGAGUUGUCGGGGUAUGAACUUGCUAGGGACUUCAUACGUCGCCAGAUCGAGCCACUACAAGCUCGCGCUCACCCCGCGUACGAUUACUUAGGAACUGAAAAUAAGACAUGGAUCUCGGUUCGGGGUAGUCGUUCUCACAACCCUCCUGACCUCGAGUUGUGUAAUGCCUUGAUCUCAAAUGCUAAUGUUACUAUUCCAUUUGCGGAGCUCGAUAACAACACUAUGGCCACACGAGUAGGUCACCUGGUGAUCAAUUCUCCAUCAGGCUACGACAAGUUCCCGACCCACUUGUGUGACCUCCUGUCCUCGAACAAGGACGCCGCCAUCAACGUAAUUGACUUCAAACUACCCCUCUUUGCUUUUGUAACAAUAUCCAAAGACGUAGUAAUCUGAAGUUGUAUAGUAUCUACCGUUGACGGAUGCCAUCGGUCCUCUCAUCGAUCACCAAGCCACCUCAUCUCUUAAGGAAAAGGCGGUGUCCAAGCAGGCUGAUGUCGCUGCCGCUUGGAGCAGCAGUGGCACGAAAAUCUCCAAACGGAAAUGGGUAGGGAUAUCUAAACCUUCGCCUAGUGUUGGGACGCUCGUACAAACGAGAAGCUCCGAGGUAAAUCUCAAUCUCCGAUCCUUGCUUGGUAUUCUUGAGAUAAGUAUAGGAUUCUCACUUAUACAUCUUGCAGGCCACCCUCGGUGCUCACUACUACAAAAACCGUUUUUGCAAACGGGCGGAUUGCAUUUUCGUAGUAGUGGCUGCUCCCUCUACACGAAAGAGGGACAGACUUUUAAAGCGGCUGAAGCCUGAGUAAGUCAAAAACUAACCCCUGAUUCUCAUAUAUCAAAUCACAUCAUCUAGCGUACUCGCUGACUUCGUCUGGGCAGCCCUAAUGGGUGAUCGAUCGCCCGCCAAUGGGGGUAGCGAUCAGAUUCGCUACCCCCCUCCCCCCUCCUUCCCUCCACCUGGUUUUCUUUUUUGGCACCGUGUUACUUUCCUAUUUUAGUAAAUUUAUACACCUCAAGUUUACACAUCUAAAGUUUAGAGACCCAAAGUUUAUAAGUCAAAAGUUCAUAUAUCCGAUUCAAAUUUGAAUUUGAAUUCAAAUAUUUUUUUAUAUAUAGUAUUUCUAUACAUCUAAACUUUAUACACCUAAAGUUAGUUUAUAGACCUAAAGUUUAUACACCUCAAGUUUACACAUCUAAAGUUUAGAUACAUGUUUCAAAUUUAUAUUUGAAUUAUAUCCGAUUCAACCUGUUUCAAAUUUGAAUUUGAAUUAUAUCCGAUUCAAAUUUGAAUUUGAAUUCAAAUAUUUUCUAUAUAUAGUAUUUCUAUGCAUCUAAAGUUUAUACACCUAAAGUUUAUAGACCCAAAGUUUAUAAGUCAAAAGAUUACAUACCCGAUUCAAAUUUGAAUUUGAAUUCAAAUUUUUUCUAUAUAUAGUAUUUCUAUACAUCUAAAGUUUAUACACCUAAAAUUUAUAGACCCAAAGUUUAUAAGUCAAAAUGUUUACAUACCCGAUUCAAUUUUGAAUUUGAAUUUAAAUUUUUUAUAUAUAGUAUUUCUAUACAUAAAUUUUUCUAACUUUUUGUUUUUUAAAAAAUUUUUGUGUUGUGUACUGUAGUAGGGGAGGAGGGAGGAGUGUAUCUAGUAUAGAGAGGGGGCAGGCGGGUGAUCGCUAGGCUGGUGGGGGAGCGAUCACCCACCCAUUAGCAUUUCCGACUUCGUCUUUGGCAGCGUUUCUUCCACUGCUUCCGCUCAAAGCGUUGGGCGCGUGGAGACCAGCUCCUACCCGACUGUUAUCGCCACUGCACCAACAAUGCUCGCUCCUCUGCCUCACCCCACUCACCGCCACGUCCCGCCCCGGCGCUAAUAUAGUAGGGGAGGCGCGUCGCCUGCUCGAAGCCAGCACAUGCGACAUGCUCGCCGAGAUCAAACGAACUGAGAAAAUCGUUUCGUCCUCGGAUGGGAGUGUUGCACAGCUGGAGAACAUGCCCACGGAGGCUCAGGAGGACUUGUAGAAAUUCAAGGACCUCGUUGCCAGCCACGUGGGGCAGCGCCAGGGGAUGGAGAAGCUGAUGAUGGAGAUGCAGGGCCACCUGGAUUCGAUUAGCCAUGGCUCGACGUGGUGGCACGCAACCUGAGAAUCCAAUAAGCGGGCCCCACGUUCCCCGAUGAGACCACCGUGGAGUCCUUGCUUGGCUUUUUAAUCGGGAAACUCGAAGGAGUUCCCGCCAAGCUCGCCGAGCGAGUUGCCGAUGAAACAUGCUCUGGUGUUCGGACCGGUGCAUGUCACGUUCUCAUGUGCCUAAAACUCACACACCCCGAGAUGAACCUCAAGGAGGUGCUGGACAGGGGUGGAGACGACCCGACGCCAGAGGACAUGUCUGGGGAUACCCGGGUUGAGUAUGCACUGGUCGAGAAACCAUCUUUCGUCGGUCGGCCGAAUUUCACAAUAGUCCCGGAUGCAAUAAAAACUAGGGCUAAAGAUGAUCUUUAGUCCCGGUUAAAAAGGGUAACGGGUAUAUUUGAUCUUUAGUCCCGGUUCGUAACACCAACCGGGACUAAAGAUCAUCUUUAGUCCCGGUUCAAAUGCUGCCAGGGCCUAUCAGGCCCCCCCGGGAUCUUUAGUCCCGGUUGGUAACACCAACCGGGAUUAAAGAUCAUAACUUUAGUCCCGGUUGGUAAUACCAACCGGGACUAAAGAUCUCGAGGAUCUUUAGCACCGGUUGGUAACACCAACCGGGACUAAAAUCCCACCCCUAUAUAUAGGUCUUCUUCCUCCUCCAGCUGCCCGAGCAAGCUUCUAAAUUUCUUCAAAAAAGAGGGGAGGUCAUGCCAAAAUUUCUAGUAAAUUUAUUUUGGGGAUUACAUACAAAUCGGAGGUGCCUAAAAGGUUUCCAACUUCAUCCUCCAAUGUUUUUUUUGUCAUAUUACAUUUGCAGCUAUGUUUUGCACACUUUUUUGUCUCCAAAAUUUAUUUGUAAGUUGAUGAGAGAGAAAAUUUGUGUGAGAAAGAAAGAAUAUAUAGAAAUUUAGUUGAUUUGCUAAAGUACGUUUCAUAAAAUAGUUGAGAAGGAAAAUAUAGUGAAAGUUAAUCUUAAAUAAUAGAAAACAUACUAAAAUGAAAAUUAAAAGAAGUAAAACACGUUAAAAUUAGUUUAAAACUUUAGAAAUAGUAAAUAAGAAUUAUUUGGUGUAAUAUUUUAUGAUUUUUGUAUGAAUAAAGAUAUGUCAUUAUUGUAUGACUGUUGAAAGAGUUUGUAAUUAUGUUAUAAUUAUUGUAUGACUGUCAUUAUUGUAAGAAUAAUUAUUUGUGUACGAUUUUUUUUCGACUCAUGUAGAUGGAUCGGCAAUGGAUGUACGCUGACCGGCGGUCCAAAGAGUUUACUGACGGCGUGCACUAUUUUUUGAGAGUGGCCGAAGCUAACAGGCAAAGGGGUUUUAUUUGUUGUCGAUGCAAUAAGUGUAAGAAUUAGAAGGAGUAUUCUGCAUCCAGGACUAUUCAUUUCCACUUGUUUGAGUCGGAGUUCAUGCCAAGCUAUAAUUGUUGGACAUCCCACGGAGAGCAAGGUGUUGAAAUGGAAGAAGAUGAAGUGGAAGACGACAAUAUUCUGGACUUUGCUCAGUACAUUGGAUUUGAAGGAAAUCAAACAGGCGAGGAGGAAAGGGAUGCUGAUGGUAACGACGUUGCGGAUGAUCUUGGUCAGAUGUUGCAGGACGCCAAGGAGGACUGCGAAAGUGAAAAGGGGGCCCAUAAAUUGGACAAGAUGUUAGAGGACCACAGAACUUCGUUAUACCUAGGUUGCGAGCAGUGGCACAAAAAGUUGGAUACCACUCUGGAGUUCUUGCAAUGGAAGGCAAAAAAUGGGGUUAGUGACAAGGCAUUUGGCGAUUUAUUGAAACUCGUCAAGAACAUUCUUCCAGAGGGAAACAAAUUGCCCGAGACAACGUACGAGGCUAAGAAGAUAGUCUGCCCGCUAGGACUAGAAGUUCAGAAGAUUCACGCAUGUCCGAAUGAUUGUAUCCUAUAUCGUGGUGAGGAGUAUGAGAACCUAGAAACAUGCCCUGUUUGCAAAGCACUACGAUACAAGAUUAGACGAGACGAUCCAAGAGAAGUUGACGGGCAGCUAAAAAAGAAGAGAAUUCCAGCUAAGGUGAUGUGGUAUUUCCCUAUAAUACCACGGCUAAGCCGUUUGUUCAGGAACAAGGGGAAUGCUAGAAUGAUGCGAUGGCAUGCUGAAGAGCGUCAACAGGACGGGAUGCUGAGACACCCCGCCGAUGGUUCGCAGUGGCGAAACAUCGACAGAAAAUUUAAAGAAUUUGGAAAGGACGCACGAAACAUACGGUUUGGUUUGAGUAUGGAUGGCAUGAAUCCUUUUGGAGAGAUGAGCAGCGGCCAUAGCACUUGGCCCGUUACGAUACGUAUCUACAACCUCCUCCCCUGGCUAUGCAUGAAGAGGAAGUACAUAAUGAUGCCGAUUAUUAUUCAAGACCCCAAGCAACCCGGUAACGACAUCGAUGUGUACCUAAGACCACUGGUCGAAGAUCUUAAACUGUUGUGAAAGAAGGAAGGUGUCCCCGUGUGGGACGAGGACAAACAGGAGGAGUUUAACCUACGAGCGCUGCUGUUCGUAACCAUCAACGAUUGGCCUGCACUGAGCAACCUAUCCGGACAGUCCAACAAGGGGUACAAGGCUUGCACUCACUGUAUGGAUGAAACAGAAAUUACGUAUCUUAAGCACUGUAGGAAGGUUGUAUACAUGGGUCAUCAUCGAUUCCUUGCAGCAAACCACCCGGUACGGAAGAAAGGCAAGCACUUCGAACAUAAGUAAAGCCCAUUUCACGGUUCUGCAACAAUCUUCAUUGGUAGCUCCUUACAUCGAGGAGCACUUGGCUCUAGUUCGUGCCAGGAACAUCGGUAAGUCCGAUGCAUGGAUUACACGGCAUCACAUUGAUACUUUCCCCGCGUGGCUACGACAACAUCUCAUGGGUAACGAGUCCAUCAACCAACAACUUGCCUUCCUGGCGAGGGGACCGUCUGGGUCGAUCGCGACAUUCCAGGGAUAUGAGAUCAAUGGGUACACAUUCUACACGAGAGCCCAAGACAUGACGAGCACGAACCAAAACAGCGUUGUUCGUGUCGAUGCCAUGGGACACGAUGGAACAAUGUCACGUCCUGAUAAAUUCAUCCCGAAAUAAAAAUCAUUCUCUAAAAGGAAUAAUAGAAUUAAUUAAAAUUCGAAAAGAAAUUGGCAAACACUAAAAUACGUACAAUAAAAAUUCAAAUGUGCCCCGGAGAAUUUUUGUUAAAUUCUCCUUGGUCUAAAAGGAACCCUCAAAUUUUAGUGGAAUUUUCAGAGCACAAAUAAUAAUUAUUAAGAAAUAAACAAAGUUAAAAAGGUUUUAUAAAAAGAAAAAUCCCUAAAAGUCUUUUCCCCCCCUCCCCCUCUUGGGCCGGCUCGGCCCAUCUCUUUCCCUCUCUCUCCUCCUCCCCGCGGCCCACUCGGCCUCUCCCCGCGCGCGCGCCGCUGACGGGCGGGCCCGCCCGCCACCCUCGCUGACGGGUGGGGCCCACCUAUCAUCCCUAUCCUCCCGCCGCUCCCGCCGCCUCGCCCGUGCCCUAGCGCCGCCGCCGCCGCGAAUCCCGCCGCCUCCCGCCGUCCCCGCGCGCAAUAAAGAGGGGGAAAUCACUCCCCGUGAUUCCCUCCCUCUUUCCCCCCACUUUUCCCUCUCUCUCUCCCUCGGAUUCGUUUGGAAUCCUCCCGCAAACCUCGCCGGCGUCUUUGAUGGAGCCCGAGAUCGCCGCGCCGGUUUCCUUCCACUCCGGCCGCCCUCUCUCCCUCCCAACGCUAUAUAAACGUUCCCCGUGCCUCCCUCCUCCGUUUCCGCCUCUCGCCGCUCUCUCUCCCCGUCGGAAUCGAGCUCGCGCCGUCGUCCCCUCUCUCCGCCGUCACCGCCGAGCUCCGGUCCGCCGCAGUCGUUGCCUCGGACCUCCUCCCGCUUCGGCAUCGCCACCUUCGGCUUCGCCGCGUCCUCGCCGAUCUCGUCCACUCUUUCGUUUCGCCCGCCGACCGCCGGAACGCCGCCGUCCUCGUCGACCCGAGCCGCAGCGCCGCCUCUCUCCGCUUCGGUCGCCGUUCCCGUCGUCGCCGUCGACCCGGGGUGAGCCAUGGACCGCCCUUUCGUUUCCCCCUUCCCUCCCCUCUCUCGGGCGCCGCUCCGUCGCGCCGGAGGUCGCCGCCGGCGACCAUCGGGGCGCGGGCGCGUCGCCUCCCGUCGGCUGUGCCGGCGAGGCCGCCUUCGGGCGCGCCCCGCGGCUGCCAUGUGGGACCCGGCCAUCAGCCGCCCGCGCCCUCGGGUGCGGCUGACGCGUGGGACCCACGGCGCCGGCCGGCGCAAGCCGCGUGCACCCGGUCCACCGUGGACCGUGAGGCUGCCGCGUGGGCCCCACUCCCGUGGACCCGGUCCGCGCGUCCCUCCCCUCGGCUGACGCAAUAAAUCCGUUUUUAAAUUAAAAUUUAAAUGAAGAAAUUCGUAAAUAUCCAUUUAAAGAGCAUAUAAACUUCAAAUGGCCAUAACUUGGCCAUUUGAACUCGGAAUUGGACCGUUCAAGUCUCUAAUUUUUCCUUAAGAAGCCAAGAACCCAUUUUUGUGCUUUGUUUCUGCUUGUUAUAUGGAGUUUAGUAGAGUAAAAGCCUUUUCUUUUCCGUUGGUCGUGUAGACGCUGCAGCUUCGGAAGAUCCGCUCUUCGUGGAAGUUGAAGCCGGCGUUUGGGAAAGCGAGCAAGGCAAGUCACAUCAUCUUUGAACAUAUUGAAUCCCAGUUUGUAAAAUUAUGUUGAUUUAACUUAUUGCAUUAUCGCUUUAUUUAAAUUCCCGCGUUAUCACUGUUUUAUUUAGCCAUGCCUAUUUACCUUUGUUAUGACCUUAUUAUUAUUGCUAUUGUUAUUAUUGCCUUGUUCACCCUAGAAUAAACAAAACCCCAACUAGUGGGCACUCUAUUCAUGGUUCCACUAGUAUGAAUUUAGGUAGAUGCUUCGCUGUUUAAUAGGACAACAUUAGGUGGUUUUUAUAACUUUAGACUUUGGGAAUUCUCAUAUCAUUUGGACACUAUGGAAUGGUUGGCUUAUGUUGGAAUUGGACACACACCUCCCCCUCUAAUCAAAACCCCCAAAAUGGUUUUAGGCUGGGCUCGAGGUGCGUGGUUGGGUUUUGUUAGUCGUACCUCGGGUACUAUAAGGAUUAAGCUCGGGCCUCUGUUGCAAAGCACUACCGUACUUCCACAUGUCUAGUGGGUAAGGCUUAGUUUGUGGCUCAGUCUGGUUAUAAACAAAAGUACACGGAUGGAGAUGGACGAAGUCGGGGGUCGAUGGACAUCUCUAGGACAAAUGAAGGCUACACGAGCUGCGGCCCGGUAGUCGAGAUGUCAUGGCACAGGGUUGGUGUCCUGCUGCUAGGGGGCUCAAUCCUGCCUGCCUGUCCCGGGGGUUCCGGCCGUAGGUGGGGUUGGGUCGGUACUCUUGUUUAUGGCUAGGAUGGGUUGGAAACUAUGUCACGUCUUCCGUCCGUAUACCGUGGUGGUAUGUGGCACGUGGUUACACGUGAGGAAGAUGUGUCUUGUGGGUAAAGAUGUACACCUCUGAUCAGAGUAUAAUCUAUUCGAAUAGCCGCGCCCUCGGUUAUGGGCAAGCCGAGCAAUGUACCCAAGUCAGUGUUUUAAUUCUUAAAAUUUGCUUAACAACUAAAAUGUGGAAUGGUUGGCCUGGGUUGGCUUGGGACGAGUUGGGACCCAGGGUCGGGUUGCCAGUUCGGUCUGAAUCAUCGUAGGCCUUGGGUUAAGGCAGGUUCGUGCGGGUUCACGACCUUGAUUAAUAAUACUGUGUAGCUUUAGGAUCGUCUUUUUAAAAUGGCUUUGGGCAACUAAGUGACUUUUAAAUGCUGUUUUCUGCAAAACUUAACCCCUAUAUCAUUACCCCUUGUACCCCCUUGCAUUAAUCGUGCAUCCGCCGGUGUGGCUUGCUGAGUACUGUGGUUGUACUCAUUCUUGCUCUAUCUUUCUCCCCUCUUCAGUAAGAGAAGCUUUGGAGAAGAAGUCUUAGGUGGAGUCUUGGCUUAUACCCCAGUUGAGCGCCUGUGAAGAUGGAGCCGUAGGCCCGCUAGUCCGCUGCUGUUUAUUUUUGAUUGUCAGGCCUUAAGUGCCUUUGUAAUAAAGUAAAUAUUAUCGAUAUAAUAAAGAUGUGUCUUUUAUAUCAUGUUUGUAUGGUGUACCCCGGCUUUUCCUGGGACGGGGAUUAAUACACUAGCGUUCGGGAAAAUACAAUUUUCUCGGUCGCGACAAGCUGGUAUCAGAGCCAUUUCGACUGUAGGAUAAGCCAAGUGGAUAAAACCUAAGGACAUAUUUUAUAAAUAAAACUAUUUGCGAAAGUUUCUCUUUUUCUCCUUUCCCUAAUGCUAUUUGCACAAGGUUUACCCUUUUCUUCCUUCUUCAAAUUUCAACUAGUACUAGAUGGUCAGGUCAGUGAAGAAGAAGAUGUCGUCAAUUGUCUGCCGAAGCUCCAGAAGGCUGCAGGAUCCGCUAGUGAAGUGAAGGAAGCAGUGAAGCCAGCUGUGAAGGAGUGAAGAUCUUGGGAACCCAUCGCAGAACCUAAGCCACCCUAUAGGGUAGUGUUGUUAGUCGUGUGUUCCUUGCUUGUGUGUGUAGCGCGUGGUUUGCAUCGGUGGGUUGUGAUGUAACCAUGCUAGGUUGUUUGCUUAAUCAACCUGCAGAAUAAGCAAAACAAACAACACAUCAACAAAAAGAGUUAGUUCCUUUAAGGUCUUGUCCCUAGUUCUGGUCGAUUCUUUCCUUGUAUGCUUCCCCUCUCAACCUCUACCUUGUGACAGAUGGAUAACACUGGUAACAAAGGCUAUGGGAAUGAUGGAUCCGAUGACUCAAGAACCCAAGCCAAUGGGAAUGAGAAAAGCAUCAACGAAACCUCACCAGAGCUAAUCCAAAUUGUGGUUAACCAAACCAACAUGUUGGCAACAGCCUUUCAACUAUUACAGAAUUGGAACAACCCAGCAGGGGCAACCAACGUUCAAGUACCCACAGUCCAGCAACAGUGCAAGUUAUCAGAAUUUCUCAAAACUGAGCCUCCAACCUUUGCCAUUGCCGUCGAUCCUAUGGAAGCCAGUGAUUGGUUGCGCACAGUCGAGAAGAAGCUAGGGUUGAUUCAGUGCACCGACCAGGAGCGGGUUGGCUUCGCAACUCAUCAGUUGGUUGGACCGGCUUCAGAGUGGUGGGAUAGCUACGAAGCAUCACGGCCAGAAGGACAUACCAUCACCUGGAACGAGUUUUCAUCUGUAUUCAAGAGAUCACAUGUUCCCGCAGGAAUGAUCACACUAAGAAAACGAGAGUUUCGCUACCUGAAGCAAGGAGAUUUGACCGUCACAGAGUACCUGCACGAGUUCUAUCGUUUGGCUCACUAUGCACCAGAAGAUGUGGAAGCGGAUGAAGACAAACAAGAGAAGUUUCUCCAGGGGUUAAAAGAUGAGCUUGCAGUGCAACUACUCCUAGAGGAUUAUGAAGAUUUUGAGAAACUUGUGGACAAAGCCAUGCAACUUGAAAGUGAGCAUAAUCGGAUGACGAACUGCAAGAGAAGGAUGGUCAACAUCCCAGUAUUUCCAUGUGGUAACCAAGGACAGCGCACUGAGCCACUUCAGAUCACCGGAUCUUCUGUUGCGCAUCAAGAGUUUCCGCCCCAAGAAGAUGGACACAAUGCAGACAACAACAUUAGCAAUACUAAUGAUGAUGAUGUUACCACCAACAACCAUGCUUCUUGCCCCAAUAGUGACCACUCGAAUCAAGCGUGCAAUGUCAACAUCAUUCACCAAGAUGUCAACGAUAGUAUCAAUGAUGGCACCCAAAAUGACAACCCUAGCAAUUGGGACUCUGAGAAAGACUCCGAUGUAAACUAUUUUGGAUGUAUUGAUUAUCCAUAUAAAUCAAUUGAUGUAUGGCAUAUGUUAAUUACGCACAAUUAUUAGAGGUUUUAACAAGUUUAAAUCAUGUAUAUGCUAGUUAUAUGCGAUACUUACAAUUUUUAAAAGUUUUAAAUCACGCAGGUGGCAAUUUCAUAUGUUAAUUAGAGUUUUUAACAUUUAAUUUACUAUCAUUCAUAUGCUAAUUAUAAUUGACUAGAGAAUUUUUAAAAGUUUUAAAUCAUGCAUGUGGCAUUUACAUAUGUUAAUUAGAGUUUUUCACAAUUUAAUUUACUAUCAUUCAUAUGCAAAUUAUAUAUAACUAUUCAAAUUUUUAAAAGUUUUAAAUCAUGCAUGUGGCAUUUACAUAUGUUAAUUAGAGUUUUUCACAAUUUAAUUUACUAUCAUUCAUAUGCUAAUUAUAUAUGACUAUUCGAAUUUUUAAAAUUUUUAAAUCAUGCAUGUAGCAUUUACAUAUGUUAACUAGAGUUUUUAACAAUUAAUUUGAUAUAAUUCCUAUGCUAAGUAUAUAUGAUGAUUACAAUUUUUCUUAAUUUUAAAUCAUGCCGUCUGUAUAUACAUAUGUUAAUUAGAGUUUUUACCAAUUUAAUAUCAUUCAUAUGCUAAGUAUAUAUGAUUAUUAGAAUUUUUAUUAAUUUUAAAUCAUAUAUUUGCUUAUUACAUUUUAUCCACUUAAUUACACACAACAAUAAUUUUUCGAAGUAAUUGUCAUUAAUCUUUGUACUUUAAAUAAUUUUAAUGCAUUAUCUUCUAUUUUAGAAACACAUAUGUAAUGGAAAAUAAUAUUCAGUGCGCUUAUCAGUAGUCCCAGUUCUUAACCCUAACCAGGUUUAAAAAGAAUUUGGAAAUAGCGGAAAAAUAUCUUUAGUCCCGGUUGAUGAGAACAACCGGGAGUAAAGAUAUCUUUACUCCCGAUUGUUCUCAUCAACCGUGACUAAAGAUCUAGGGGUAUAUAUAUUCCCGAUGCGCGCCCUCAUCUUCUCCACCAACACUUAGAAGUUUUUGCCCGAUCGAUCUCUCUUGGCUUCUCCUUCGCCGCCACUGCCUAGGGCAUCCCCGUGCUGACACCGCCGCCGUAUCUCGCUGUCGUCUCGCGCUCGUCGUCAUCGCCGCCAUCUCCGCCGCCGCCGCCUCCCUCUCAUCAGCUAUCUCUCUCCCUCUCGGUUGCCGCCGGCCGCCUCGUUGCAGACGCCGACGCCGACCUCGUCACGACACGACGUCGCGCCACAACGACGCCACGGCGGCACGACACGACGAGACGCCACGACGCCGCCGCGGCACGGCACCGGCGCCGCGCCGCCACGCCACCGCCGCGCAACGCCGGCGUCGUGCCGCGCGCUUCGCCGCCGCCGGGCCGCCCCGCCGCUGCUCCGCUGCCGCCACACCGCCGUCCCGCUGCCGCCCCACCGCCGUGAACGAACAUGAACGAGAACGUGAACGAGCGAAAGAAACGUGAACGAGAACGAGAACGAGCGAACGAACGUGAACGAGAACGAGCGAACGAACGUGAACGAGCGAACGAACGUGAACGAGAAUUGAACGUGAAAGAACAAACGAACGUGAACUAACGAGCGUGAACGAACGUCAACGAACGUUAACGUGAACGAACGUAAACUAACGAACGUGAACGUGCACGAUCGUGAACAAUAGUGAACGAACGUGAACGUGAAAUGCAAUAUAGGCAGGUGAAUGAACGUGAACGAACAAACGUAGGUGAAUGAAACGUGACCUUAACGAGAACGCGAACGUGAACGAUAUCGUGAACGAAACGUGAACGUCAAAUGCAAUAUAUGUUACUUCGCGUUUAUCCUAAUACAUCUUUUUGUAUCUUGCAGAAAAGACGUUGUCGGAGUCGUCCCUCAAGCCGAAGUGGUAGCUAGCCCUCGAAGGAAUUCGCGCAGACAAGUGACAUAAUUAUAUAUAUGAUUGUUAUAUUUGUAAUGCUAAUAAGACUAUUAGAUUUAAUAUACGACACUUAGACUUAGCAUAUAUCACUAUUUGAGUUUUAGUAUAAGAUUAUUAGAUUUGUAAUUAGACUUAGCAUAUAAGAUUGUGUAGGGUUCUAAUAUACGACAGUUACACUUAGCAUACAUGACUAUUUUAGUUUUAGUAUAAGAUUAUUUGAGUUUUAAUAUAAGAUUAUUAUAUUUGUAAUUAGACUUAGUAUAUAAUUAUUGACUAGCUAGGGUCCUAUAAUAUACGUCACCUAGACUUAGCAUAUAUCACUAUUUGAGUUUUAGUAUAAGAUUAUUAGAUUUGUAAUUAGACUUAGCAUAUAAGAUUGUGUAGGGUUCUAAUAUACGAUAGUUACACUUAGCAUACAUAACUAUUUUAGUUUUAGUAUAAGAUUAUUUGAGUUUUAAUAUAAGAUUAUUAUAUUUGUAAUUAGACUUAGUAUAUAAUUAUUGACUAGCUAGGGUCCUAUAAUAUACGUCACCUAGACUUAGCAUAUGAUUGUUAGCAUAUAAGAUUGUUAAAACAUAAAUGUCUCAUGACUUAGCAGAUGUUUCCUGUAUGAACAGAUGGCUGAUCGCGAUGAGGAAUAGAUAUUGUACGAUACAAUCGCGGAGGGAAGCAGCCAGUACUGGAACGAAGAAGAGGGGAACGAGAAUCCAAACCAGUAUUUAAACGAGGAAGGGAACGUGGAGAGGGAUGCGGAGGGGAACCAGGAGGGGCACGUGGAAAGGGAUGUGGAGGGGAACCAGGAGGAGAAGGCUAGUGGAAGUCAGCCCUUCGUUGGACAGAAGAGGGCACGCGGGCAACGAGGUGCCGCGAAGAAGCUUGAGGGUCGGCACAUCAUAACGGAAGUGGAUGAAGACGGACGACCUAGUGCCUCGGCAGAAGCCGCCAAGAACUAUGUACGUCACAGCGGUUCGGUUGUGCGGGAUAACGUGCCUGUCAGUACGGUGUACGGGCGCAGAACAAGGGCACACGGAGAUCAUGAGAGCUUUAUCCCAGAUUCGGAGAAAGAGAUGCUGUGGACCACAAUGCUCGAGACAUUCACCCUUCCCGCGGGUACAGAGGACAAAGUGAAAAGGUGGACUCUGAAGAAAAUGGCAGAACAGUUUCAGAGCUUCAAGGGAGAUCUGUACAAGAAAUAUAUCCUGAAGGGGCAGACACCGAACUUCGACACAUUCCCAAAGCUAAGGGAUCACUGGGACGAGUUCGUUGCAUAUAAGACAGGUGAACAAGGGCAGGCGAUGAUGGAAAGAAACAAAGAAAAUGUCGCCAAGAAGAAGUACCAUCACCACUUGGGGUCAGGCGGCUAUAGCGUCGCGAUGCUGAAGUGGGAGGAGAUGGAGGCUAGCUUGCUUGAGAGGGGUAUCGAACUGGCCACCGCUAAUUGGCCGGAACGAUCGAAGUUCUAGUACUAUGCUCACGGUGGAACGCUCAACCCAGCUGAUGGCUCCCUGGUCUUCGGCGAUCAGAUACACGAGGCUGCGCGUCGACUAACAGACGCAGUGGAAGCCUCUUCUCAGGGCACGUUCCGACCGGACAGAGAGAGGGACGAGCUGUCACUCGCCCUGCAGACUCCAGAGCAUACAGGACAAACACGAGGGAAAGGGGUGAUUCCUUGGAAGAUUGGGUUCAAGGAGGACAUCCACACGUACAGGAGUCGGAUGAGGAGCAAGAAAGAUACCGAGGCGAAGAUUGCAGAUCUAGAGUUCAGGGUAUCGAGCUACGAGCUCAGCAUGCAAGAGGAGGUGGCAAGGAAGGUUGAUGAACGCAUGGCCGCACAUCGGUCCCAUGAUCCCCAGUCGACCAUUCCUCCUGCAAUGGUGAGCCCGUCAGGAAACCGUAGCAGCUGCGCCUCAACGGGGCAGGUAGGAUCACAGAGCAUGGAUGCCAUGCAAACCCAGGACGAAUCCACCUGCCCCGUUGAUGACAUCACUCAGCGGACACCAUGUGAGCUGCAUAUUCCUUUCAAGAACUUAUCAAUAAAGGUAAGCUCGUAGUUUAUAUAUUUUAGAUUUGACCAUUCCGCUAGUUGCUGCUUAUAUAUGUUGAUUAAUAAUAAAUAACCUCUCACCACAUGAAGGUGGCGUCGGGCAUGGUCAUCCCAACGGACCCUUCAGGUACUUACCACUGCAGGCCGAUUCUAGCAAGAUACUCCAAGGUCAAAGUUGAGUUGGUCGAAGGCGCGUACGAGGACCUCGAGCUGGAUUACCCUGGAGGAGACGGUGAGACGCAUCUACGAGACACAAGCCAUGCCAUUAUUCUAUGGCGCAGGCGGUACAUCAUCCUCCCUGGGCGACAAGCGGCGUCUCGUGCACCAUCUCCUCCGGCUCCGCCAUCUCCUCCUCAGGAUCUUGCACCGACUCCUCCUCAGGCUCUUGCACCGACUCCUUCGCAAGCUCCUCUUCCGGCACCUUCAAAGUCAAGAGCCCCCCAAGCUCCACCACCUGCCCACACAAGGGCAACGAAAAAGGCGAAAGUUGAAGCCGCCAAGAACAAGGACCCGGGGUAUGAUUGUAAGCAAGAGGAGCUUGACGCUUACGUGACAUCAGAAGUCAAGAGACAAUUCAAGCCUCGAAGUCCAGAAAAGAAGAUUCCUAUAGACCCGAGUGUCAGGAACUUCUUCAGGGGUAUGUCUACACCUGCCAAGGAGACCAUAAAGCUAUCGAACUAUGAGCAAACGCUAAAGAAAGCAUCUUCUGGAAAGUCCAAACCAGUCCCUCAGCUUGGAGAGCAACCAAACCAAGAGAUUGAGUCGUUGGUGACCGGUGAAGAUAUUGGAAUAGAAGAAUUUAUUAAUGAUACCAGUCUAACUACGGAUCAAUUGCUAGGAGUCGCACCAAUCGAAAAGGCGGAAGUGAAAUACAUGUACGAACUCGGUAAACUGCUUGUCAAGCCUGAGCUGCUGCAAUCCCUACCCACACAAAUGUACAAGUUCCAUCAGCUGUACAUGGAGAUGAGUGCCACCGGUAGAGAGAUGAUCGGAGCGAGGAUCAGGGACACAAACUUCUUGCAAGGAGAUGACAUUCUCUGGAUCAAUUUCAACGGAAUCUACGAACCAUACCAGCUGGACGCCCUCGACGGCUCUAUUAUGAGUUGCUGGAUUUUGUAAGUAUAUCGUUCAGUUAGAUUUCUUACUACGUCUCCUUUAAUUAAUUAGGUCCUUGUAAAUAAGUAGACUAUAUAUAAUAUAUACUCCCUUUAUCGUUGUAGAAUGGAGAUUCAAAGGGCCCGACGGCAGGGGGGUUUCGAUACUGGAUUCAUCGACCCUCGGAAAGUAAACGUCGCAAUGCUCGACUAAUAUCCGCAAGCCACAGAGGACAAUCUCGUCCAUCUCCUGAAGGCGCAGCAUUACAAGACGUUCAUACUGUUGCCGUACAACACAGAGUUAAGUUUAAUUUUACUGUCUUCCUAUACCAAAUUUCAUUCCCGUACGAACUUGCUAAGUGUUUCAUAUGUAAUGCAUCCCACGCACAUUGCAGAUUCCACUGGGUGCUUUUACUCUUCGACCUGGCGGCCUGCACCGUCAACGUAUAUGACUCAAUGGAUAAAAAAGAGUCUACGUUUGACAAGGUUUUCGAACUUAUAGAUAGGUACUGUCAUAAGUUCCUUUGUUAAUUAAGAACAUCUUGUUAUGUUAAUUGCUACUACGAAUCAAAGCUUUAAACUCCAUGUAGGGCUUGGUAUCGGUUCCGUCAUUUGGUCCGCGGCAACUGGAGAGAAAGACUUAGGCGGAAGUUCAAAUUUCCUGUGAGUACACAUGCUCUACAUUUAUAUUUCUCCGAUUCAAAUACAUACAAGUGUAUAUUAAUUAGAUCUCUCGUCGUUUGUCAUUUAUUUGUACUGCGCAAAGCAAAAGCAGGGAACUAACUUGUGCGGCUACUACGUGUGCGAGUAUUGCCACUGCCUUGCAGACCAAAUCAUCACCACAAGAGAGCUCGAUGUACGUACAAAUAAAUUCAAAAUUUCAUUACGUAUCGAUUUGUUGUUUAAUUACUAAUCAAUUUCAUACAUUCAUAUAUUUUAUUCGCAUGAGGGAUAACCAGACCACACACAAGGAAUUUAUGACUACAUAUAUUUCUAUAUGCAUGUGUACACAUUUUCUAUAAUGUAAAUAUAUUUUGGUCAUAUAUAUAUAUAUAUAUAUAUAUAUAUAUAUAUAUACAUAUGCAUUUGCAUAACAUAUAUAUGUAUAAAUACAUAUAUAUUAAUACAUGACUACAUAUGUUUCUAUAUGCAUGUGUACACAUUUUCUAUAAUGUAAAUAUAUUUUGGUCAUAUAUAUAUAUAUAUAUAUAUAUAUAUAUAUAUAUAUAUAUAUAUAUAUAUAUAUAUAUAUAUAUAUAUAUAUAUAUAUAUAUAUAUAUAUACAUAUGCAUUUGCAUAACAUAUAUAUUUAUAAAUACAUAUAUAUUAUGCAUGUACAUAUGUAUUGAAACAUAUAUAAAUAUAAUAUAAUAUAUAUAUAUAUGCAUAUAUUAUAUAUGCAUAUAUAUGUAUUGAAACAUAUAUAUGCAUGGUUUAUAUAUAUAUAUAAAAUAUAUAUAAACCAUGCAGCAACAGGGCCAUGAAAAAAAAAAAUGGUCAGCUCCACCAACCGGGAGUAAAUAUGGCUCAUCCGGCCACGUGGCUGAGCCAUCUUUAGUCCCGUUGGUGUUACCAACCGGGACUAAAGAUCGAUCUUUAGUCCCGGUUAUUUCACCCGGGACUAAUGAUAGCGAUCUUUAGUCCCGGAUUGGUAGCGAUCUUUAACUAAGACAGGCUUUAGGGGCCGACAGGCCAAAAACACUCCCUACAAACAAAAGACCCAUACACAAAAUAGGAUAAAAACACCACAGGCAACGCCUGAGAGCAGAUCGACCUAGAACAAGAACUCAUCAGCACCAUAGAAUUCUUCCCCUGCCUGCACCUCCUCCGGGAAGGAUUGAUCGUCCGAACUCAUCAAGGAGGUUUGAUAACAAGCCUAUUAUAAAUAGUUUUUCCCUACUUUGUAAAACAUUUCAUUUGCAAACAGUUGUAAAUCAUCAUGUUAAAAUAGCAGCAAUAUUAAUCACCAUUCAUCCUCAUCUUCGUCAUAUUCUAUAUUUUAAUUUAAAAAUCUACUCAUACCAUGAUAAAUAGGAAUCACCCAAUGACAUAGCUUCUGAACCGGAAGCACAGCACAUUCAAAUGAUUUAAGACUCAUCUCUGUAGAGACUGCCUAGCUUUACCCACCUGAUGUCAACAGCUAGCUAGACUGAGGACAACAUAGCCACUCGAGAGUCCCACUUACUACUAGUUACUGCCCAAUGGGAUAUUGAUCCGUCCUAGCAGUCGGGCACUUGCUGGGCCUAAGCAAGGCUAGACGGUUGCUGCUUUCACGGGUUCCACCGUUGCGGAUCAUGUCAACCUGGCCGAAGCCCCUUCCACAUGUCCACCCCAAACCUGCUCAUAGAGCCACCCUACAGUCUUUCAUAUAGUGGGACAAUGUACUAGGCUAAGUCUAAUUACUCAGUCCUGUGGAUGGGCGCAAAUUACAUCAUUUUCCAUGGCAUAAGAGGGUAGUCCUUAUAUCCGGGGAAAGCCACCAAAACUAGCAUAGGUCCGUGCAUACUUCAAGUGUAAUAUACACUUUCCACAAAAUAUUAUAACAAUAUGCACGGCCUCACAUACCACAGCAUCCAUCUUCACCCGGAAUUGUUCUUCCAUAUCACUCCAGGCGAGUGAGUCAUAUCAAAUAACACAUUUUAUAUCACCCGACACGCUACCACGUGACGACGGGUAAACCAUGUAUAUGAGUAUAGAUAUUUGGUGGUCUUAUCCACUAGAAUAUUAUUGUGAAGUAUAUAAAUCUACACCUAGGUUAUCAAAGGACGUGAUAUAGCAAUUCAUGGAUUUGGCCAAUAAUAACAAUGUAAUAAUGGGUAAUAACUAAACUAACAAGUUUAUUAAAAAAUAAUUCAUACGCAAAAUAAUUUUAUAAAUACUCAAUGCAGAAAAUAACUAAGUGGUUCUCUACUAUAUUUCAAUAUGAUCAAAGAUUGGAACUGUGGCUUGCCUUGUGGAACGUGGCCUUCUGAAGCUUGAGCGUAGCCUUCUAGGUCCACUUCAGUUCCUGUGAAUCCGGUGGAAUC